UUUUUUAUUUUUUUUUUGUUUUUUCUUAAUCUCAGGUCACUAUUUCACAUAUGAGAUAUUGAACACAUAUAUAUACAACAAGCAUCCAUAUAACAAUCAUAUCCAACACACAAGUUUCAUCAUAUAUACAUACAUAGCCAACACAUAGUUCCGUCGUUACAUAUUAAAAAAGUUUCACAUUGUUCAUCCAACACCGUUAUCCAUCAAUUCACAAAAGUUUCACAGUGAUACAAAAUAAAAACACAAAUGGAAAAGAAGCACUCCAUCCAGGCAAGCUUCCGUCAAUUAAAUCAAAUUUGCCAAAUGAUAAACAAGAAGUUAGAAGAAGAAAAAGAAGAAGACUAGAAGAAUACUAGAAGAAGAAGAACACUAGAAGAAGAAUAAGAAGAGUUUUGGAAAAGAAGAAGAAGAAGAAGAAGACUAUAAGCUUAUUAUGUAAACUUGAUCAUUUUGUGCUAACAUAAGUUAUUUUGGAGCUAACCUAUAGGAAACUAAGCAUAUAAGCUCUAAGUUAGUAUAUUAGAGCCAACUUAGGUAAAAUGAAGCUAAUCUAUGUCAUUUUGGAAAAGAAGAAGAAUAAGAAAAAGACUAUGAGCUUAUUAUGUAAACUUGAUCAUUUUGUGCUAACAUAAGUUAUUUUGGAGCUAACCUAUAGGAAACUAAGCAUAUAAGCUCUUAGUUAGUAUAUUAGAGCCAACUUNNNNNNNNNNNNNNNNNNNNNNNNNNNNNNNNNNNNNNNNNNNNNNNNNNNNNNNNNNNNNNNNNNNNNNNNNNNNNNNNNNNNNNNNNNNNNNNNNNNNNNNNNNNNNNNNNNNNNNNNNNNNNNNNNNNNNNNNNNNNNNNNNNNNNNNNNNNNNNNNNNNNNNNNNNNNNNNNNNNNNNNNNNNNNNNNNNNNNNNNNNNNNNNNNNNNNNNNNNNNNNNNNNNNNNNNNNNNNNNNNNNNNNNNNNNNNNNNNNNNNNNNNNNNNNNNNNNNNNNNNNNNNNNNNNNNNNNNNNNNNNNNNNNNNNNNNNNNNNCUAUGUCAUUUUGGAAAAGAAGAAGAAUAAGAAAAAGACUAUAAGCUUAUUAUGUAAACUUGAUCAUUUUGUGCUAACAUAAGUUAUUUUGGAGCUAACCUAUAGGAAACUAAGCAUAUAAGCUCUAAGUUAGUAUAUUAGAGCCAACUUAGGUAAAAAUGAAGCUAACCUAUAGGGAACUAAGCAUAUUAGAGAUAACAUAGGUAACUAAGUAUAUAUAUAUAAUUUUGGAUAGCUAACCUAUAGGAGAUCUGACAUACCUGACAAAGUUUAGUUCUCAUGCAUUGUUCUUCUCCUUCUUCUCCUUCCUCUCCCUGAUGCACCUAGAGCGGCGAGGCGGUGGAGGCAGUGGAGGCAGUGGGAUGUAGUCUUCUACCACAAUUGGCAUGGUCAUGUCGCCCAGCUGUGGGAUCACCGGCGCCACCACUGGUGCGUGGUCAUUGUCAGGCACCACCACCAUCGCGAGGCCACCUUCAGGCACGACCAUCGCUAGGUCAUCCUCAGCCACCUCCAUCUCUUGCCCAUGGUCAGCCACCACCAUCUCUUGCCCUUGGUCAGCCACCACUAGCGCUAGGUCAUCCUCAGCCUGAUGCCCAUUGUCAUCCAGCAGCUCCUCAUCCUCACUCUGCUCCUCUUCUCCCGCACUCCAGUCCGGAUCAUCCUUCUUGUUGUCUAUGCUGCUGCCAGAAUCGCUGCUGCUUUCGCUACAGCCAAAAUCGCUGCUGCUUUCGCUACAUCCAUAGUUGCUGCUGGUUUGGCUGUAGCCAGUGUCGCUGCUGCUGCUCCCAUUACCUGUCCAAAAUGCAACAAUGACCAUUAACAAUCGAUGUGAGACAAAGCCAAAUGUAGAGGAAUAAGAAGAGGCAGAACGUACCGGCAUCAUCGUCGGCAGCAUAGCGCAUGCGACACAUAGUCUUGUUGAACACCUUCACGAUGAGCAUGUUGGCGUCGUCGUCGUACCUGAAGAGAAGGAAGUACCCCAGCUGCAGAUCAUAGGCACGGUAGAACUUCUCCCACCCACGAGACAAGUACAUGUGGCCCUUCUUGAUCACCAACUGCACAUCCCACUGCCUGCGAAACCCGCUGCCGGCCUAUCGCAGCUUCACAUUAUUUGGCGGAUCUUCACCCAUCAGCAUGUUCAUAAAACUAUCAGGCAGCCUCUGCAGUUUGGGACAAUGAGUGAUGUAGCAAACAACAGAUAUCAUAAUGAGAUGGGUGAAGGGGAGAUCUCUCGUUUUAUAUACCUGCGUCAUGGAUGAUACUGAAGCGUCAAGUAUGAUAGUGAAGAACUCGAAAGCAUCCAACUCGUACUGCGGUGUCGCAGAUCGGUGGUGGCUGCUUCCCGCCAUCUCUGAUAAGCAGCAGAAGAGACCAAUUAGUACCCAUGCAUGAUAACAGGCAUUAGUCGCAAGUACCCCAUAUGUCCUAUUUUUAGCAAAGUAAUGCUAAAAUUCACGGAAAAUUCCAGCAUUACCUUUGCUAAAAAUAGGACAUAUGGAGUACCCGAAUUUGCCGGAACGGAAGUUAAUCGACAUUCCGGCAAACUCAAGGGCCUCUCAGGAUACCUACAACAUCAUCACAAGUACAGCAGCAGCAGCAGUGAAUACAUGCAUAACAGCAACAAAACUAUAUAUUUUUAUGCAGUAAACAAACGAACACUAAGAGUAGAAUGUUCUUGCAACAAACAUUAUUGUGUGACAUCGAAAGGCAUCACUCUGCUUAAAGGGAAGGAUGACUUAAGUGGCAGAUGUAUAUGAUUGCACCACUUGAUCUGCACUUCUCUAUAUUAUAUGAUGUACUGAAGAACUUGAGCAAAAAAAAGAUAAAUAGGAACAUAUUUCUCACCUUGAAGGUGUUGCUGCUGCUGCACUGUCUGAACUUCACUUCCUUUACCUCCUCGGAAACCUGAAAUAUGCAGAUGUUAGAAAGGUUAAUGAACCAACAGAUGCCCUAAUGGAAGUAAUAACAACAUGACAGCAAACAACCAACAAAUUAUCUUGCCCUCUACCUGCAAAAUUAAGAACAGUUCAGUCAGUUUCAGAGGAAAUGUGCAUCUUGGAAUAAGAUAAUAGCUGAUUUUGUCAUGAUCCUGCUACACCUCUAUCAUCAAACAGAGUCCAUAUUAAGAACAUGUCAGUUUGAGAGAAAAUGUGCAUCUUGGAAUAAGAUAGCAGCACAUUUUGUCAUGAUCCUGCUACACCUCCCCAUCAGCAUGUUGCUACUACAUAUAUGAUACAUGAUAGGUGUGUGCUCAAGAAAAAUGGAGAUAAAGACAAGUUGAUAGUGCCACUUGGUCUGCCAGAUGCUGAACUGAGUGUGACACUCUCUGAAGUUGAUUAUACUAGUACAGUUAACACUAAUUAAUGGUGGUGCAGGUCAGACCAGAAGAAGAAGCGCGCAGCUGGCAUCUAGUCAUCAUCCAUAUCCAACCCAGCAAGCACAAGGAUCAGCACGGUCGAUCAAACAUGUCACGUGGCUGAUUCGCACCCGAAAGGCAAUCAGCCGGGCCGGGUUAGUGGGAUGAUGCACCCGAAAGGCAACCAUCCAUGCUUUGCCCCUUGUAGCAUGUUUUAAGAUAAGAAAAAGAAAGCGGUAUACCCUCUAAAGAGCUAGUAUUGGGCAGCAGUAUGUAGCUAGUGUUGAGCUGGUUGUGAAACUGAAACUACUAUAAUUUCUACUUAAUUUCACUUAAUGUCGUAUGGUUCACCAGCAAAAACACCAGCAAAAACUAGUAGUACUACUAUACACACAAUCUAAUUAAUUUCACUUAAUGUUUGUCUGGUUGCUCUCAAGAAGCCUCUGGUUCUUCUCCAUAUUUUCAGUCACAUAUGGUGAUUUCGUCGUGUCUUAGGCGAACCACGGGCAAUAUAUACAGGCAUAUAUAGGCACACCGCAUACGGUUCAACCACUCGAUGGUCUUAGACAUGAAUGUAUUAUUACCUAUCAUCUUGGGUGUUUUCUUCUAUCUUGUUAAAAUAAAUCUCCUACCAGAUAAUAGUUUCAAGUAUUUGGCUUCUCUGCUCUGUCGAAGGCAGAGUAUAAAUACCACACUUUCAUCCAUAGUAGCCCAUGUAUCUAACCGAUGUUCUUGUCAUGCACCUUCCUACGAAGAUGGAUUUCAAAAUACGUUGCCUUCCGGGAUCAAUCAAGUCAAAUGCCUCGUUUACAGAGGACACACACUGAAAUACGUUGGGCCUCCAAGUGACUUUGGCUCAAAUAAAUACGUUUGAAAAACAGAGUGACACAGCACAAAGAGAACUAGAGUAUAUCUUCACCAUAUAAGAAAAUAGCAUCAUCAUCUUAGCUUCACAACAAACAAGUAGUACAAAUAGAAAGACUGAAUAGAAAGACUGAAUGAAAAUGCAUCAUCAUCUUACAUGGCUGUUUACUGUUGCUGAUGCACUGCAGGGGCGGAGGAAGGGGCGCCGCCGGUGGAGAGGGCGAGGCCGAGGAUGGCGUGGGGCUUGAGGGCCUGCGGCCUGGUGAGGCCGACGAGGUGGUCGUCCCCGACGCCGGCGGAGCUAGGGUUCAGGGAGACAGCGGGCGGCGCUGAGGGGACGGGGCGAUUGNNNNNNNNNNNNNNNNNNNNNNNNNNNNNNNNNNNNNNNNNNNNNNNNNNNNNNNNNNNNNNNNNNNNNNNNNNNNNNNNNNNNNNNNNNNNNNNNNNNNNNNNNNNNNNNNNNNNNNNNNNNNNNNNNNNNNNNNNNNNNNNNNNNNNNNNNNNNNNNNNNNNNNNNNNNNNNNNNNNNNNNNNNNNNNNNNNNNNNNNNNNNNNNNNNNNNNNNNNNNNNNNNNNNNNNNNNNNNNNNNNNNNNNNNNNNNNNNNNNNNNNNNNNNNNNNNNCGGCAGCGGUGGCGGCGGCUAGCAACCCUAGCUGUCGCGCUCGGGAGGGAGGGGGGCGCAGGCGGGGCCGCGGGGGGAGGGGGGCGGCGAGGGCGCGGGCGCGGGCGGAGGGGGACGGUGAGGGAGGUGGUCGGCGGCGGAGGGUGGUCGGGUGCACGUACGGCCGGGGACGGCGGGUGAGGCAGGGGAGGGAUUAGAGUGUGGAUUGGGGAUUGGGGAUUUUAGUGUGGGGGAGGCUUAGCAAUGGCGCACCACCCAGGGGUGCGCCAUAAGUACAUCCAUAGCAAUGGCGCACCACCGGAGGGUGCGCCAUAAGUAAUUUAAUCUAGCCCGACAUAUAUACCACCUAACCCUAUCUACAAUAGAACCCGCCCACUAGCCCGACUGGUCAGUACGCAACACACACAUCAGGAGGUCCUGGGUUCGAUUCCCAGGCUCCCCAAUAUUUUUUUAUGCAUUUUAAAUCCUGUUUGAUAUUUAUUUGUGUUUAAAUAUGUUCAAACUUGUUUAAAUCAUAACAGUAAUAUUUUUUUAUAAAAACAGUAAUAAUUAUUUAGAAAAUAUGUUCAAAUUUGUUAAUUGAAAAUAUCAUCGGCGGCGGCGGUGGAGCGGGGGGAAGGUGCGGGGGGUGCCCGUUGGCGGCGGUGGAGCGGGGAAGGGUGCGUGGGGCCGGGUGCUCGUCGGCGGUGGUGGAGCGGGGAGGGUUGCGGUGGGUCGGCNNNNNNNNNNNNNNNNNNNNNNNNNNNNNNNNNNNNNNNNNNNNNNNNNNNNNNNNNNNNNNNNNNNNNNNNNNNNNNNNNNNNNNNNNNNNNNNNNNNNNNNNNNNNNNNNNNNNNNNNNNNNNNNNNNNNNNNNNNNNNNNNNNNNNNNNNNNNNNNNNNNNNNNNNNNNNNNNNNNNNNNNNNNNNNNNNNNNNNNNNNNNNNNNNNNNNNNNNNNNNNNNNNNNNNNNNNNNNNNNNNNNNNNNNNNNNNNNNNNNNNNNNNNNNNNNNNNNNNNNNNNNNNNNNNNNNNNNNNNNNNNNNNNNNNNNNNNNNNNNNNNNNNNNNNNNNNNNNNNNNNNNNNNNNNNNNNNNNNNNNNNNNNNNNNNNNNNNNNNNNNNNNNNNNNNNNNNNNNNNNNNNNNNNNNNNNNNNNNNNNNNNNNNNNNNNNNNNNNNNNNNNNNNNNNNNNNNNNNNNNNNNNNNNNNNNNNNNNNNNNNNNNNNNNNNNNNNNNNNNNNNNNNNNNNNNNNNNNNNNNNNNNNNNNNNNNNNNNNNNNNNNNNNNNNNNNNNNNNNNNNNNNNNNNNNNNNNNNNNNNNNNNNNNNNNNNNNNNNNNNNNNNNNNNNNNNNNNNNNNNNNNNNNNNNNNNNNNNNNNNNNNNNNNNNNNNNNNNNNNNNNNNNNNNNNNNNNNNNNNNNNNGGGGGGCCCGUUGGCGGUGGUGGAGCGGGCGAGGGCGCGGGGGGGCCGGGUGCUCGUCGGCGGCGGUGGAGCGGGGGAUGGUUGCGGUGGGUCGUCGGCGGCGGUGGAGCUAGCGGGGGAGGGUGCGGGUGGGAUCAAGAUCGAGAUCAAAAAGUGUCCAUGAAAAUAUACACGGUGCGCCAUUAGCAGUUUUGCAAACAAGUAAAAAUAAUAAUUAUAUAGUAAUGGCGCACUGCUUACAAGGUGCGCCAUUACUUGGUAGAACUAGUAAUGGCGCACUUUGGCACCAUGCGCCAUUAGAGUGUAUGGAAAAAUGGAAAAAAAAUUCAAUACUAGUGGCGCACCAUGUGCCUGGUGCGCCAUUAGUGUCUUCCACACUAAUGGCGCACCUCCAACCGGUGCGCCAUUCGUAUAUAGUAGUGGCGCACUACUUACCUGGUACGCCAUUAGUAUCAAUCCUAUCUAUAGCCCUUUUCCUAGUAGUGGAAGGAUCAAUGAUGUUCUUAUUGUUGCAAAUAGAAAUUUGGUGCCUGUAGAUUUUAUCGUUCUUGAUAUAGAUUGCAAUCUUUCUUGCCCAAUUAUUCUUGGUAGACCUUUCCUUAGAAUGAUUGGUGCGAUUAUUGAUAUGAAGGAAGGGAAUAUUAGAUUCCAAUUUCCCUUAAAGAAAGGCAUGGAGCACGUUGCAAGAAACAAAGUCAAAUUACCUUAUGAAUCUAUCAUGCGUGCUACUUGUAUUUAGUGCCAAAGAUGGCACUCGUUAGAUCUAUCUUUGCUUUUAUGCCUAGCUAGGGGCGUUAAACGAUAGCACUAGUUGGGAGGCAACCCAAUUUUCUUUAUGUUUUUUGUUUUUGCUCCUGUUUAGUAAUAAAUCUUGCAUCUACUCUCUGGUUAGAUGUGUUUUUAUCUUUUAGUUAGUGUUUGUGCCAAGUAGAACCUACGAUGAUAGUUGAUUUCAUUCUGCUGAAAAACAGAAACUUUGCGCUCACGAGAAAAUAUUCAAUAAAUCACAGAAACGUGAUUUUGCAUUGAUUCUUUUUGCUUAUGAUCAAUAAAUAAAUUUUCCAGUACUUCCUAUUUUGGUAGGAUUUUUAGAGUUCCAGAAGUUUGCGUUAGUUACAGAUUGCUACAGACUGUUCUGUUUUUGACAGAUUCUGUUUUUCGUGUGUUGUUUGCUUAUUUCAAUGCAUCUAUGGCUAGUAAAUUAGUUUAUAAACCAUAAGGAAGUUGGAAUACAGUAGAUUUAAAACCAAAAUAAAUAAAGAAUGAGUUCAUUGCAGUACCUUAUGUGGUGGUUUUGUUUUCUUUCACUAACGGAGCUUAUAAGAUUUCCUGUUGAGUUUUCUGUUGUGAAGUUUUCAAGUUUUGGGUAAAGCUUUUAUGGACUAUGGAAUAAGGAGUGGCAAGAGCCUAAGCUUGGGGAUGCCCAAGGCACCCCAAGAUAUUCAAGGAUAGCCAAGAGCCUAAGCUUGGGGAUGCCGCGGGAAGGCAUCCCCUCUUUCGUCUUCGUUCAUUGGUAACUUUACUUGGAGCUAUAUUUUUAUUCACCACAUGAUAUGUGUUUUGCUUGGAGCGUCGUGUAUUAUAUUAGUCUUUGAUUUUUAAUUUACCACAAUCAUACUUGCUGUACACACCUUUCUGGAGAAGCCUAUUUUAUUAGAAUUUGCUAGAAUACUCUAUGUGCUUCACUUAUAUCUUUUGAGCUUGAUAGUUUUUGCUCUAGUACUUCACUUAUAUCUUUUAGAGCACGGUGGUGGCUUGAUUUUAUAGAAAUUGCUAGUCUCUCAUGCUUCACUUAUAUUAUUUUGAUAGUCUUUUAGAACAGCAUGGUAUUUGCUUUGGUUACAAAUUUGGUCCUAGAAUGAUGAGCAUCCAAGUUGGGUAUAAUAAAAACUAUCAUAGAAAUUGAAUUGGAUGCUAUGAUCAAUUUGUUGCUUCAUAAUUGUUUUGAGAUAUAAAGGUAGUAAUGUUAGGGUCAUUGAGGGAGUCCUUGAUUAGGGAGUGUCCGGAUGGCCGGACUAUAACCUUUGGCCGGACUCCCGGACUAUGAAGAUACAAGAUUGAAGACUUCGUCCCCGUGUCCGGAUGGGACUUUCCUUGGCGUGGAAGGCAAGCUUGGCGAUACGGAUAUGUCGAUCUCCCCCCAUUGUAACCGACUCUGUGUAACCCUAGCCCUCUCCAGUGUCUAUAUAAAUUGGAUGGUUUUAGUCCGUAGAACAAACAACAAUCAUACCAUAGGCUAGCUUCUAGGGUUUAGCCUCUCUGAUCUCGUGGUAGAUCUACUCUUGUACUACCCAUAUCAUCAAUAUUAAUCAAGCAGGAGUAGGGUUUUACCUCCAUCGAGAGGCCCCGAACCUGGGUAAAAACAUCGUGUCCCUUGUCUCCUGAUACCAUCCGCCUAGACGCAUAGUUCGGGACCCCCUACCCGAGAUCCGCCGGUUUUGACACUGACAUUGGUGCUUUCAUUGAGAGUUCCUCGGUGUCAUCACCUUUAGGCCCGAUGGCUUCUUCGAUCAUCAACAACGAUGCGGUCUAGGGUGAGACUUUUCUCCCCGGACAGAUCUUCGUAUUCGGCGGCUUUGCACCGCGGGCCAAUUCACUUGGCUAUCUGGAGCAGAUCGAAAGCUACGCCCCUGGCCAUCAGGUCAGAUUUGGAAGUUUGAACUACACGGCUGACAUCCGCGAAGACUUGAUCUUCAACGGAUUCGAGCCGCGGCUGAGCGCGCCGCAAUAUCCUGAGGGGCAUGAUCUAGCUCUGCUGCCGGACAGUGUCCAGAAGGCCGCUCAGGUGUCUGCUCCGACCCUUAGCUCGGAGCUGACUGUGCUAAUCGAGGACAGAUGGUUGGACACCGCCUCGGGGGCUGCAAUCUCUACGGUGAUCGAGCCGAACACCAGUCUUGUCCUUCACGAAGCUCGUGACUCCAACGUGCCGGACUCCUUUCCGGACUCCGAAUCUUCCACACCCCUUCCAAUCGAACCCAAUUGGGCUCCAAUCAUGGAGUUCACUGCCGCGGACAUAUUUCAGCACUCGCCCUUUGGCGACAUCAUGAAUUCACUAAAGUCUCUCUCUUUAUCAGGAGAGCCCUGGCCGGACUAUGGUCAGCAAGGAUGGGAUGCAGACGACGAAGAAAUUCGAAGCCCACCCACCACCCACUUCGUAGCCACUGUCGAUGAUUUAACCGACAUGCUCGACUUCGACUCCUAAGACAUUGACGGUAUGGACGCCGAUGAAGGAGACGACCAAGAAUCAGCGCCUAUAGGGCACUGGAAAGCCACCUCGUCAUAUGACAUAUACAUGGUGGACACCCCAAAAGAAGGGGAUGGUGAUGGAACAACGAAGGAUGACCCCUCCAAGAAACAGCCUAAGCGCCGGCGUCAGCGGCGCCGCUCUAAAUCCCGCCACAGCAAAAACGGCGAUUCCGGCACCAGAGACAAUAACACCCCAGACAGUGCUGAAGACAACCCCCUCCAGCAGGAUUCAGCGCAGGAGGAUGGAGAAGCCAGCCCUCAUGAGAGAGUGGCAGACAGAGAGGUCGAGGACGAUAAUUACAUGCCUCCCUCUGAAGACGAAGCAAGCCUCGACGACGAUGAAUUUGUCGUACCUGAGGAUCCCGUCGAACAAGAGCGUUUCAAAUGCAGGCUUAUGGCCACGACAAGCAGCCUCAAGAAAAAACAGCAGCAGCUUAGAGCUGACCAAGACUUGCUAGCCGACUGAUGGACUGAAGUCCUUGCGGCCGAAGAGUAUGAACUCGAACGUCCCUCCAAGAGCUACCCAAAGCGCAGGGUGCUACCCCGACUAGAGGAGGAAGCAACUAAACCUACAUCACCAGCGUAUGACGUGGCCGACUGGCCAGCUCGUGGCCGCGACAGAGAGGCCUCUCGGCCAUCAACUCAAGCCGCACCCCGGCGCCGCUCAAAAAGUACCAAGGCACGGGGAAACACGACGGACCUACGAGACAUAUUGGAGGACAAGGCAAGGCAAACAAGAUCGAUAUACGGAUCGCGUGGGCGCCCCACGACACGUGACGAUAACCAUCACGCCGGAUAUGGCAAAUACGGCCAGGCCGAACACAACAGAAAAAACUCAUCUGAGCUACGUCGUGAUAUAGCCCAGUAUAGAGGCGCCGCACACCCACUAUGCUUCACAGAUGAAGUAAUGGAUCAUCAAAUCCCCGAGGGUUUUAAACCCGUAAACAUCGAAUCAUACAAUGGCACAACAGAUCCCGCGGUAUGGAUCGAGGAUUAUCUCCUUCAUAUCCACAUGGCCCGCGGUGAUGAUCUACGCGCUAUCAAAUACCUCCCACUCAAGCUUAAAGGACCAGCUCGGCAUUGGCUUAACAGCUUGCCAGCAGAGUCAAUUGGUUGCUGGGAGGACCUGGAAUCCGCAUUCCUUGACAAUUUCUAGGGCACCUAUGUGCGACCACUAGACAUCGAUGACCUAAGCCACAUAAUUCAGCAGCUAGAGAAAUCGGCCAGACAAUUCUAGACACGGUUCCUAACCAAGAAAAAUCAAAUAGUCGACUGUCCGGACACAGAGGCCCUUGCAGCCUUCAAGCAUAACAUCCGAGACGAAUGGCUUGCCCGGCACCUAGGACAGGAAAAUCCGAAAUCCAUGGCAGCCCUCACGACACUCAUGACCCGCUUUUGCGCGGGAGAAGACAGCUGGCUAGCUCAUAGCAAUAACAUGACCAAGAGCCCUAGUAAUUCGGAUACCAAGGACAACAAUGGCAGGUCGUGUAGCAACAAGCACAAGCGCCGCAUUAACAGCAACAAUACUGAGGAUAAGGCAGUUAAUGCCGGAUUUAGAGGCUCUAAACCCGGUCAGCGGAAAAAGCCAUUCAAAAGAAAUACUCCGGGCCCAUCCAGUUUAGACCGGAUACUCGAUCACUCGUGCCAGAUACACGGCACCCCCGAACAACCAGCCAAUCACACCAAUAGGGAUUGUUGGGUGUUCAAGUAGGCAGGCAAGUUAAGUGCCGAAAACAGAGACAAGGGGCUGCAUAGCAAUGACGAGGAGGAGCCCCGUCCGCCUAACAACAAAGGACAGAAAGGCUUUCCCCCACAAGUGCGGACGGUGAACAUGAUAUACGCAACCCACAUCCCCAAAAGGGAACGGAAGCGUGCGCUCAGGGUCGUAUAUGCGUUGGAGCUAGUCGCCCCAAAGUUCAACCCAUGGUCCUCCUGCCUGAUCACUUUUGAUCGGAGGGACCACCCCACUAGCAUUUGUCACGGCGGAUUCGCCGCAUUGGUCCUAGACCCAAUCAUUGACGGAUUUCACCUCACUAGAGUCCUCAUGGACGGCGGCAGCAGCCUGAACCUGCUUUAUCAGGAUACAGUGCAGAAAAUGGGCAUGGAUCCCUCAAGGAUUAAACCCACAAAGACGACCUUUAAAGGCAUCAUACCAGGUGUAGAGGCCAGUUGUACAGGCUCAGUUACACUCGAAGUGGUCUUCGGAUCCCCGAAUAAUUUCCGAAGCGAGGAGUUAAUCUUCGACAUAAUCCCGUUCCGCAGUGGCUAUCACGCCCUGCUCGGACGAACCGCAUUUGCAAAGUUCAAUGCGGUGCGCACUAUGCAUAUCUCAAGCUCAAGAUGCCAGGCCCUCGCGAAGUCAUUACAGUCAAUGGAAACACCGAACACUCUCUCCGAACAGAGGAGCACAUGGCGGCCCUGGCGGCGGAAGUACAAAGUAGCCUCUCAAGGCAAUUCUCCAGUCCGGCUGUUAAGCGUCCGGACACCGUCAAGCGCGCCCGGAGUAACCUACAACAAGACCGUCUGGCACGUUCCGAGCUAGCAUAGAAGUGUGGCCCCAACCCCAGCCCUCGCAAACUCGCGAAACCAGUGCCACGCGUACAUAAUUACACUCUGGAAAUACCAUGGGCAUAAGGGGAGGGGCACAACCACGGCAUGCCCAGAAUACGGCUCAACCGCACUAGGGGCUCCUGAUUUUGUAAUUUCUCUUUUCUUACUUUCAGGACUCCACUUUCAGGAAGGCCUGUCCGGCAGUACAAACGCCGAACACACGAUGCAACAGCCAGGGAGACAGCAAGCCACGUCGAACGUCCAGGUGGUCUCUAUAACGAGCUAAAUACCUGUCUUACUUAAAGUCUCGCAGCUUGCCCCUGGAGGGGGACAUGUCAAAUAAUCCCAUCUCUUACUUAUCGCACUAUUUGUAUCGUUCUGCUUUCAUAGCAGCCCUUUAAUAAACAGUACAUAGCUCUUGUCUAUUAUGUACAUAUGUUCAGUUAUGACAUUAUGCAACCAUACACUUUGGUACGCCCAAUACACCAGGGGCUUAAGUACCCCAGAAUACGGUGUGAGAAGACCGAACACUCUCAUGAGUGCGGCACCCCGAACUUAUAGCAUUAUAUGCAUCGGCUCCGAAUCAUGUCUUGGGUCAAUAGUUGGGUUUGCCCGGCUCCCAUGUUUUGGUACCUUACGUUCCGCUAUAUCGGCUAAGGUAGCGCUGGGAGAACUACUACGAUUGUGCCCCAGUUGAGCUGGGUUAACACCUCAGUAGAGAAAGCUAAAACUGACCGUCAUGAUAGGGCGAGAGCCGAUCGCUGUUCGAGAGGUUUUUCAAGUCCUUAAAGACUUAUGCCGCUUAGAGCGAGGAGCUGGCUUUGUCCGGCCUAGGCGUGGAUAGCGUCCCGAACUCGGUCUUCCGAAAACUAGGGGCUUUGCCGAAAUUUAAAAUUAUAGAAUUCUAUGGCUAAGUGAGAGUGAUAAAGCAUUAUAAGUCUGAUUGCCUUGUUCGUUGUGCUGAGCGCCUCCCUCGAAGGACCCAAGAAUGGGAACAAGAGCGCUCAGGUUUAUCCCGAACACCCCAGCACUCGCGGCAUGGGGGCAGAAGCCGACGACUUGCAUCUCUCAGAUUUAAUAAAUGGCCGCACACAAGGUAAUAUUUUAAAUUCAAAAAGCGUUGCUUAGCGCAUAUGAACAAGUUUUCAGCUCACAGGAUAAAAACACGAGCGAGUUUACUCAAAAAUUAAAUCCUUGGAACAUUCGUUCGCCACAAGGCGGGCACCCUUCAGGAUGCCCUCAUAGUACAUCUCGGGCCUGCGACGCUCCUUCCCCUCCGGUGGUCCUCCCGUCACCAGCUUCUCAGCAUCCAGCUUGCCCCAGUGCACUUUGGCACGGGCAAGGGCCCUACGGUCGCCUUCGAUGCAUACGGAGCGCUUGAUGACUUCAAGCCACGGACAGGCAUCCACCAGCCGCCUCAACAGCCCAAAGUAGCUCUCAGGCAGGACCUCCCCAGGCCACAGCCCGGCCUAUAAGGCCCUUCAUGGCCUGUUCGGCCACCUUAUGGAGCUCGACCAUCUGCUUCAGCUGGUCGCUCAAGGGCACCGGGUGUCCGGCCUCAGCAUACUGGGACCAGAACACCUUCUCCGUCGAGCUCCCUUCUUCGGCUCGGUAGAAUGCGGCGGCAUCGGACACACUACGGGGCAGAUCUGCGAAUGCUCCUGGAGAGCUCCGGAUUCGGGUAAGCAACACGUAAUUCACUUUCACAUGCUUGCUUUGCAUAAAGAAUGCCUUACCCGCCGCUAUCUUUUUCAUCGCCUCAAUUUCCUGGAGGGCUUUUUGGGCUUCGGCCUUGGCAGAUUUGGCGCUUUCAAGUGCCGAGGCAAGCUCGGACUCGCGAGUCUUUGAGUCAAGCUCUAAACUCACGUGUUUUUUCACGAGAGCAUUGAGCUCUUGCCGCACCUCCGCCACCCGCACCUCUUGUUUCUCUCACUCGGUGUGCUCCAUGGCCGCAUUGUCUUCGGCCUUGGACAGCGCUUCCUUCAGGGUCAGCACCUCGGUUGUGGCCCCUAUAACAUUCACGUUGGUCCUGUCAUUAUUUGCAACCAGGUAUUUUUAUAUAUACUUACAUAAGGCACUACCUACCUUCCUUGUCCUCGAGCUGCUUCUUGGCAAGGCCGAGCUCGUUCUUGGACCGCUCGAGGAUCUGCUUCAAUGCAUCGACCUCCGCAGUCAGUGCGGCAGAGGUCAGCAGCACAGCCUGCAUUCCCAUAUUGACAAAUUUAUGUUAGACUCCUGCGUAUAUCUUUUUAGAUCCUCAGUCUGGCUUUUCUUUCCGAACACCAAACUGAGCAUCAGGGGCUACUGUCUAUGCGGUAACAGUUUUACAUGUUUUAAAUACAUACCUCAAAGCCUGUUAGAAGGAUGGCACAGGCUUCUGUCAGCCCGCUUUUGGCAGACUGAACCUUCUGGAUCACCGCACUCAUAACAGUGCGGUGCCCUUCGUUGAUGGAGGCGCCAUUAAGCACCUCCAGCAAAUUGCCCGACGCCUCCGGUUGGAAGGAGGCCGGUGGGCAUCGUAGGCUUGCCCUUCUUACGAAGGGGCCGCCUGCCAGACUCCGGAACCCCUGAAGGUUCCGGUGUGGCGUCCGGACCAGGACCGGACUUAGAGCCCUUUGGGGUUUUGCCCCCUUUGUGCCUGGACUCCGGGAGGUUGCCUUCUGGUGCCUCCGGGGCUGCCUCCUCCUGGCCCGUCCCCUUUUGGGACUCCACCUCGGCAUCGUUCGUUGGGCGAGGGGAGGUAGCGGUCGGGAGUGAAAGACUAUUCAUAUCCGACGAAUCCAGGGAUCCGCUUGACAAAGCGUCGAGCUGGGCCCUGGGCGGACUGCAUAAUUAUAUUCGGCGUUACAAGGUACUGUGCACUAAAGGAACGCCAUGAGUUAUUCUGGUAUCCGGAUACUUACGAUGUUGCCAGGGGCUUGGCCCUGGUUAGACACUCCUCUCGGCCAUCUUCGGCGUCGGAGGCGUAGUCCGGAAGAAGGGUCUUCCCCUUCUUGGACCCUCUGGCCUCCCCAGUUGGGGCGGCCUUCCUUUUCUUUCCUCCCCCCGUUGGAGGGGGAGAGGCUUCUUCUUCCUCCUCCUCAUCUUCAGAGGAGGAGUGCACUUCAGGGUCGUCGGGCGAUGAGUCCGACAACACCAGGCGCCGGGAGCUCCUUCGAGUUCCCGUGGCCUUCUUCUUGGCCUUAUUCUCCGGCACUACGAGAGGUGCCGGAACCAGCAGCUUUGCCAAGCAGGCGUCUGCUGGGCCUUCGGGCAAAGGAGCCGGACAGUCGAUCUGUCGGGACUUCUUCUGCCAGCCCUGUUAAAGGAAUGGGAGCUUAGAUCCUGCAUAGAGUCAAACUAUGAAAAACAAGUACCAUGUAUUGGGUAAACUAAGCUUAUCGCGCUGGCUUGGCGCUUCGCACAGAAUCCGCGAUCCUCGGUAGUGGGGGGUGAACCUCGGAGCUCUUGAAAAGCACCUUCCAAGCAUCUUCAUGCGUUGUGUCGAAGAGCCUGGACAGAGUUUGGUGCUGGGCCGGGUUGAAUUCCCACAGAUUAAAAGCCUGCCAUUGACACGGGAGGAUCCGGCGGAAGAGUAUGACCUGGACUACGUUGACGAGUUUAACCUUCUUGUCCAUCAAGUUCUGGACGCAGGUUUGGAGUCCGGUCGCCUCUUCUGGAUUACCCCACGACAGGCCCGUCUCUUUCCAUGAGGUGAGCCGUGUGGGGACGCCAGAUCGGAACUCGGGGGUCGCUGCCCAUUCAGGGUCACGCGGCUCGGUGAUGUAGAACCACCCCGAUUGCCACCCUUUGAUGGUUUCCACAAAGGAGCCCUCAAGCCAUGUGACGUUGUCCAUCUUGCCCACCAUGGCGCCUCCGCACUCCGCUUGUCAGCCACCCACAACCUUCGGAUUGACAUUGAAGGUCUUCAGCCAUAAGCCGAAGUGGGGCUAGAUGUGGAGGAAGACCUCGCACACGACGAUAAACGCCGAGAUGUUGAGGAUGAAGUUCGGGGCCAGAUCCUGGAAAUCCAGGCCGUAGUAGAACAUGAGCCACCGGAUAAAUGGGUGAAGAGGAAAGCCCAGUCCGCGGAGGAAAUAGGGGAGAAACACGACCCUCUCAUGGGGCCUGGGGGUGGGGAUGAGCUGCCCCUCAUCUGGGAUCUGGUGCGCGAUGUCGUUGGACAAGUAUCCGGCUUUCCUCAGCUUUUUGAUUUGCCCCUCUGUGACGGAGGAGGCCAUCCACCUGCCUCCCGCUCUGGACAUGGUUGGAGAAGGUCGAGGUGGGGCGUGCGGACUUGGGCGCUGGGCUCGAGUGCGCAGGAAUGGAUAAGCGAAGGAGGAGGAAGGCGUAGAUAGAAAGGGUGGAUUCUUAUCCCCUUAUAUGGGCGGCCGAAACUACGUGCCCCCACCAGCCUAGUAAAACUCGCUUAUCUUCCAAGCACCGUGAUUAAUGGCGCGGUUGGGUUACCCACGCCCGUAUUGAUGACAAUCCCGAAAUAAGGGGACACGAUCUCUGCUUUGACAAGACGUGCCAAGGAAACCGCCUUGCUAAACAUGCUGAGGUGUGACAGAAAAACGAUUCGAAUAAAGGCUUGGCUGUGGCAUGAUGUCACGCUACAGAAUACGUCAGCAGAUUAGAUUUGUGCGGAUAUUAUUCUCUCUACGGUGGUAUGUGGAAAUUAUUUUGCAGAGCCGGACACUAUCCUUGUGUUCAACAUCUUCACUGAAGUAUUCGGAGGAGGAACCCGCCUUGCAAAGCCGAAGACAAUUUGUGCGCCGGACUCAUCAUCAUUGAAGCCUGGUUCAGGGGCUACUGAGGGAGUCCUAGAUUAGGGGGUGUCCGGAUGGCCAGACUAUGACCUUUGGCCGGACUCCCGGACUAUGAAGAUACAAGAUUGAAGACUUCGUCCCGUGUCCGGAUGGGACUUUCCUUGGCGUGGAAGGCAAGCUUGGCGAUAUGGAUAUGUAGAUCUCCUCCCAUUGUAACCGACUCUGUGUAACCCUAGCCCUCUCCGGUGUCUAUAUAAACCGGAGGGUUUUAGUCCGUAGUACGAACAACAAUCAUACCAUAGGCUAGAUUCAAGGGUUUAGCCUCUCUGAUCUUGUGGUAGAUCUACUCUUGUACUACCCAUAUCAUCAAUAUUAAUCAAGCAGGAGUAGGGUUUUACCUCCAUCGAGAGGGCCCGAACCUGGGUAAAAACAUCAUGUCCCUUGUCUCCUGUUACCAUCCGCCUAGACGCACAGUUCGGGACCCCCUACCCGAGAUCCACCGGUUUUGACACCGACAGUCAUGCUAGUGGAUAAUUAUGAAAUUGAGAAAUACUUUUGUUAAAGUUGGCAAGUCCCGUAGCAUGCACGUAUGGUAAAAGUUGUGUGACAAAUUUGUUGCAUGAGGUGCUUUGUUUAGUGUCUUCCUUAUGAGUGGCAGUCGGGGACGAGCGAUGGAAUUUUUUCCUACCAAUCUAUCCCUCUUGGGGCAUGCGUAGUAGUACUUUGCUUCCAGGGCUAAGUAGACUUUUGCAAUAAGUAUAUGAGUUCUUUGACUAAUGCGAGUCCAUGGACAUAUGCACACUUAUCCUUUUACUUUGCUAGCCUUUAUUAUUACCGUGCAACUUUCGCCGGUAGCAUGAACCCUUUAUUUACCUUCCUAAAAACAGCCACCAUACCUACCUAUUGUGGCAUUUCCAUAGCCAUUCCGAGAUAUAUUGUCAUGCAACUUUCCACUGUUCCGUUUAUUAUGACACAUUCCAUCAUUGUCAUAUUGCUCUUUUGCAUGAUCAUGUAGUCAACAUCGUAUUUGUGGCAAGGCCACCUUCAUAAUUUUCAUACAUGUCGCUCUUGAUUCAUUGCAUAUCCCGGUACACCACCGGAGGCAUUCAUAUAGAGUCAUAUCUUGUUCUAGCUUUGAGUUGUAAAUCCAUAAAAGUGUGAUGAUCUUCAUUAUUAGAGCAUUGUCCUAGUGAGGAAAGGAUGAUGAAGACUAUGAUUCCCCCACAAGUCGGGACGAGGCUUCGGACUUUGUAAAAAUAAAAGAGGCCAAAGAAGCCCACCGAAAAGAAAAAAAAGGAAAAAGGAAAAAGGAAAAAAAGAGAAAUAAAAAGAGAGAAAAAUAGAGAAGGGACAAUUGCUACUAUCUCUUUUUCCACACUUGUGCUUCAAAAUAGCACGAUGAUCUUCAUGAUAGAGAGUCUCAUAUGUUGUCACUUUCAUAUACUAGUAGGAAUUUUUCAUUAUAGAACUUGGCUUGUAUAUUCCAAUGAUGGGCUUCCUCAAAGGGCCCUAGGUCUUCGUGAGCAAGAAAGUUGGAUGCACACCCACUUAGUUUCUUUUGUUGAGAUUUCAUAUAUUUAUAGCUCUAGUGUAUCCGUUGCAUGGCAAUCCCUACUCACUCACAUUGAUAUCUAUUAAUGGGCAUCUCCAUAUAGCCCGUUAAUACGCCUAGUUGAUGUGAGACUAUCUUCUCCCUUUUUGUCCUCACAACCACCAUAUACCACCAUAGUGCUAUGUCCAUGGCUUGCGCUCAUGUAUUGCAUAAGAGUUGAAAAAGCUGAAGCGCGUUAAAAAGUAUGAAAUAAUUGCUCGGCUCGUCAUCGAGGUUGUACAUGAUGGGAGUAUUUUGUGUAAUGAAAAUGAAGCAUGGCCUAACUAUAUGAUUUUGUAGGGAUAAGCUUUCUUUGGCUAUGCUAUUUUGAUAGGACAUGAUUAUUUGUUAGUAUGCUUUGAAGCAUUAUUAUUUUUAUGUUUUAUAAGCUUUUAUCUUGAAUCAUUUGGAUCUGAACAUUCAUGCCACAUUAAAGAAAAUUACAUUAUGAAUUAUGCUAGGUAGCAUUCCACAACAAAAAAUUCUUUUUUAUCAUUUACCUACUCGAGGAUGAGUAGGAAUUAAGCUUGGGGAUGCUUGAUACGUCUCCAACGUAUCUAUAAUUUUUGAUUGUUACAUGCUAUUAUAUUACCCCUUUUGGAUGUUUAUGGGCUUUAUUUUACACAUUUAUAUCAUUUUUGUGACUAACCUACUAACCGGAGGCCCAGUCCAUAUUGCUGUUUUUUUGCCUAUUUCAGUAUUUCCAAGAAAAGGAAUAUCAAACGGAGUCCAAAUGGAAUGAAACCUUCGGGAGCGUGAUUUUUGGAACGAAUGUGAUCCGGAGAGCUUGGAGUGCAAGUCAAGAAGCUGCCGAGCAAGCCACAAGAUAGGAGCCCCCCCCCCUAUAGGGCGCGCCCCCCUGUCUUGUGGGCCCCUCGGGCGGCCAUCGACGUACUUCUUCCGCCUAUAUAUACCUACGUACCCCGAAAACAUCUAGGAGCACCACGAAACACAAUUUCCACCGCCGUAACCUUCUAUAUCCGCGAGAUCCCAUCUUGGAGUCUUCGCCGGCACUCUGCUGGAGGGGGAAUCGACCACGGAGGGCUUCUACAUCAACAUCCUUGCCCCUCCGAUGAGUUGUCAGUAGUUUACCACAGACCUACGAGUCCAUGGUUAUUAGGUAGAUGGCUUCUUCUCUCUUUUUGGAUCUCAAUACAAUGUUCUCCCCCUCUCUUGUGAAGAUCUAUUCGAUGUAAUCUCUUUUUGCGGUGUGUUUGUCGAGAUCCGAUGAAUUGUGGGUUUAUGAUCAAGUUUAUCUAUGAAUAAUAUUUGAAUCUUCUCUGGAUUCUUUUAUGUAUGAUUGAGUUAUCUUUGCAAGUCUCUUCGAAUUAUCAGUUUGGUUUGGCCUACUAGAUUGGUCUUUCUUGCCAUGGGAGAAGUGCUUAGCUUUGGGUUCAAUCUUGCGGUGUUCUUACCCAGUGACAGAAAGGGUUGCAAGACACAUAUUGUAUUGUUUCCAUCGAGGAUGACAAGAUGGGGUUUAUAUCAUAUUGCAUGAGUUUAUCCCUCUACAUCAUGUCAUCUUGCUUAAUGCGUUACUCUGUUCUUAUGAACUUAAUACUCUACAUGCAGGCAGGAGUCGGUCGAUGUGUGGAGUAAUAGUAGUAGAUGCAGGCAGGAGUCGGUCUACUUGUUAUGGACGUGAUGCCUAUAUACAUGAUCAUGCCUAGAUAAUGUCAUAAUUAUUCACUUUUCUAUCAAUUGCUCGACAGUAAUUUGUUCACCCACCGUAAUACUUAUGCUAUCUUAAGAGAAGCCUCUAGUGAAACCUAUGGCCCCCGGGUCUAUCUCUUAUCAUAUUUCCUUUCAAUCUACUUUAUUUGCAUCUUUACUUUUUGCAUCUAUAUUAUAAAAUGCUAAAAACAUAUUUAUCUUAUCAUACUAUCUCUAUCAGAUCUCACUUUUGCAAGUGGCCAUGAAGGGAUUGACAACCCCUUUAUUGCGUUGGUUGCGAGUUCUCAGUUUGUUUGUGUAGGUGCGUGGGACUUUUGAGGAUCCUCCUACUGGAUUGAUACCUUGGUUCUCAAAACUGAGGGAAAUACUUAUGCUACACUUGCUGCAUCACCCUCUCCUCUUCGGGGAAAACCAACGCUAGCUCAAGAUGUAGCACCCCCUAUCGAUGAGAGGAUCGAUGGUGAUGAUGAUGGCGGUGAUUUCCCCCUUCCGAAGGGAUGUUUCCCCGGUAGAAUAGCUUCGCCGGAGCCCUAGAUUGGUCCUGCUCAGGUUCCGCCUCGAGAUGGCGGCGCUUCGUCCCGAAAGCUUCUCUCUGAUUUUUUCCAAGGUAAAAGACACCAUAUAGCAGAAGAUGGGAGUCGGAGGCCUGCCAGGGGGCCCACGAGGCAGGGGGCGUGCCCAGGGGUAGGGCACACCCUCCACCCUCGUGGCUGACUGGUGGCCCCCCUCUGGUGCUUUCUUCGUCCAAUAUUUUUAAUAUAUUCCAAAACUGAUCUUUGUGAAGUUUCAGGACUUUUUGGAGUUGUGCAGAAUAGGUCUCUAAUAUUUGCUCCUUUUCCAGUCCAGAAUUCCAGUUGUCGGCAUUCUCCCUCUUCAUGUAAACCUUAUAAAAUAAGAGAGAAAAGGCAUAACUAUUGUGAUAUAACAUGUAAUAAUUACCCAUAAUGCAAUAAAUAUUGAUAUAAAAGCAUGAUGCAAAAUGGACGUAUCAGUUUCGUUCCAUUCCGAGAACUUUUAUUUCUGCACAAAAAACAACACCAUGGUAGUUCUGCUGAAAACAACGUCAGUCCGGGGUUAGUUUCAUUCAAAUCAUGCAAAUUAGAGUCCAAAACAAGAGGAAAAGCAUUAGGAAAAGAAGAUACGUUGGAGUUGUAUCAACUCCCCCAAGCUUAAACCUUUGCUUGUCCUCAAGCAAUACAGUUGAAAAACUGAAAGUGAGAAAGAAAAAAUUUUACGAACUCUUUUGCUCUUGUUUGCAUAAAUAAGCUUAAACUGCACCCAGGUUUUCAGCCAAUAUUAUAACUAACCAUGUCGACAAUAACUCUUAAAAAUUAUAUUAACUCAAAUCAAUGACAUAAUCAACUAGCGAGCAAUAAUAAGGUAUCUCAAACAGCAACACAUUAUCAAAACAACCAUGAUAUAAUAUGACAAUAGUGGUAUCUCGCUAGCCCAUUCUAAGACCACAAAACAUAAAUGCAGAGCACCUCCAAAGUUCAAGCAGCGACUAAACAUUGUAAUUCAUGGUAGAAAAGAUCCAUUCAUGAUGCACCCAACAUUAGCUACACACAAUGCAUCAGCAUGACAACAAUGCUCUCAGGUUCUGGCGCUUAUUUUAGAAGGUGACGACACAGUAUAAAAGUAAAUAGAUAGUCCCUUCGCAGAGGGAAGCAAUGAUUUGCAGCAGUGCCAGAGCUCAAGUUUUUUAAAAUAGAGAUAAAUGAAAUUUUGAGAAAUGCGCCCUUCUUGUUUACUUCACGACCAUCAGUUAUCAAUAUCUUCCAUGCUAAACACGCUAGUGGCGGUUCCCAAGCGAUAAAGUAAAGGUUAUGACUCCAUAGGAGUUUUUGUUUGAUUAUUUGUAAGAUUUUUGUUUGAUUAUUCAUAAGCUCUUUUCUGUUUGUAGUUUGGGACUGGGAAUCCCUAUUACCACCCUUUUUCUCGUGCAAUGGCGAGUGAAUAAACACUCGACCUGAGAAUAACCCGCUUAGCAUGGAAGAUACUGACUACCUCCUGUCGCUCCAUGAACGAUCCAGGCACACAAAAGGGAUAUUUAUUUGAAGUUUUUAGAGAUGGCACAUGCAAAUUUACUUAGGACGGCAGGGUAAUACCGCAUAUAGGUAGGUAUGGUGGACUCAUCUGGAAUAACUUGGGUUUAAGGUUUUUGAUGCACAAGCAGAAUUCGUGUUUAGUAUAGGCGAAGGCUAGUAAUUAGAUAUAGAAGCAGCCAGCUAGAGAGCAACAACGGUCAUGAACAUGCAUUAUGCAUAAGUAACAUUGGACACUAGCAUGAGUAGGAUAUGAACACCAUGAACAUAAGUAUCAUAGAGGCUAUGUUGGUUUUGAUUCAACUACAUGCAUAAACAUGUGCCAAGUCAUGUCACUCGAACAUUCAGAGGAGGAUACCAUGUCAUCAUACUACAUCACAAUCAUUUUAUCACAAUGUUAACAUCCAAGAUAAAUCAUUAUCCACUCCUAGCUACUUAUGCAUGGAAUGAGAAACUAUAAUCUCUAAUUGUCAUUGUAAACAUGUUUUAAUCAAAAUGAGCUGAAUCAUGGAUACUAGGUUAAACAUAUUUACAAAAAGAAAACAAGUCGAGUUCAUAGCCGUUUCUCUCUGCCACGGCUAGUUCAUCAAAUAUCGUCAUUAUUGCCUUUCACUUGCAUGAUCGAACGAUAUGAAAAUAAUAACAGUGCAAGAGUGUCGUGGGCUAAGCUGGAAUCUGCAAACAUUUUAUCAACAGGAGAAGACAACGUAAAAUGGGCUCUUUGUUAUAUCAACAAUAAUGCAUAUGAGAGCCACUCAACAUUUUCAUCGUGGUCUUCUCCUCGGUAUGACUCAAUAAAAAGGAAAGAAAUUCAGAGAAACACUAAAAUAUUUUUGGAGUUUUUGGUUUUUUUGAAUCAAGUAAAUAAAAGGGAAAAGCAAAAACGAGAUAAACUGUUUACACGGGAAAAAUCCCAACAAGCAAAAGAAGAACAAGGAAAUCUUUUUGGGUUUUCUUGUUAGUGCUACAGCUAACUACUCUAGAAAGAAAAUCAGAAAGAAGCAGGAAAUAUUUUUGUAUUUUCUCAAAGUUUUUCAAACACACAAGAAGUAAACGAGAAAAUAAAUUUAACAUGGAUAGUACAAUGAAAAAGUGUGAACAUCGACAAAUGGAAUGAAAAGUGUGAACAUGAAUAUAAUGUCGGUGGAAAUAUGUACUCCCCCAAGCUUAGGCUUUUGGCCUAACUUGGUAAUCAAUCAGUAGUCGAAGAAACCAUGAGGUCCCAUGUCGAACUGUUGAGGAGCGGGCACCUAUGGAUCCCAUUGUUGAGGCUCCUCCUCUGCUGUGGCCUGGUUUUUUCAGUAGGCAAUGAUGUAAUUCAGCUGCAGUGAAGUCGGUGAGGCCGACAUUAGCAGCAUAUUAUGCAAACUCUUGAAGGAUUCCGGCCCCUUCCAUGAACGAGGUAUGCGGCCAUUCGCACGGCCGUACUUUUGCUAUUCUCCAGGUAUGGAGAUCACUGUCCGAUGACUCCCCAGUAACUCCCUUGGAGUUCUUCUUGGAAGCAAACUUCCUAAAGAUACUCAUAUUUUUCCUAUGAACAAAAUUUCUGAAAUUUUUAGUCCACAAAAUUUUCUCAACAAAACUUCACCAGAUUGGUAGCAACUACUCAUAGACAUGCAUAGAGGCCAAAACAAGCAUUCAAACUACUUAGAACUCUAAGAAUUCAACAUGCAAGCUCAUCUACAGCAGCACCGAGAGUAGAUAAUUAUUCAUCAUAAUAUAAACCACUAAAGCAAAAACUAAUUGGACAAACGGAGGAGUCACAUACCAAGCAACAAUCCGCUGAAACAGUUUCAGAAACGGAGCUUCGAGCAAAGAGAUCGAAAUCCGCGGGUUUGAGAGCAAGAACAUGAGAGAGAGAGAGAGAGAGCAAUGGUGAUUUUUUCUAGAGGUAGGUGGUGAUGUGAGAUGAAGAGAUAAGUGAGGGGGCCCACGUGGGGACCACAACCCACCAGGGCGCUCCUGGGGGUCCUAGCGCGCCCAGGUGAGUUGUUGCCACCUGGUGCACCUCCCUCUAAUGUUAUUUGCACCAAAAAUUCUUAAAUAUUAAAAAAAUCGUAUUAAAAUUUCAGAGCAUUCUGCGAACUUUUAUUUUUGGUUCAUUUUUUAUUGCACAGUAAAUUUAGAAAACAGACAAAACAUGGCACUUUAUUUUAUUUAACUAAUAAAAACAGAAAAUAAAAGGUAGGGAUAGAAGGUUGUGCUCACUAAAUUCAUCAACUUCAUACCUCUAAAAAAUGAUCCAUUAAUAAGGUUGAUCAAGUCUUAUUAACAACCACUUUCGAUUAGCAUGAAACCGAUGAACUUUAGUAAAUCACUAAGUUACCUCAACGGGUAUAUGAAUGUCCCCAACAAUAAGCAUUUCAUAUUUCUUUUUAGCAGUAGGUAGAGGUAGUUGAAAAUUUCCAAUAGUGAUGUCGGAGAUUUUUCAAUAACAUUAAUACCAUUCACUUGGAAUUGUUUCUUCGGAAAGUGCACCGUAUGCUCAUGACCAUUAAUAUGAAAAAUGACCUUGCUUUUAUUGCCAUCAAUAACCGCCCCUGCAGUAUUCAAGAAAGGUCUACCAAGGAUAAUCGACAUGUGGUUGUCCUCGGGCAUCUCAAGUAUAACAAAGCGAGUCAAAACAGUAACAUUAGCAACAAUAGCGGGCACAUCCUCCCAAAUACCGAUAGGUACGGCAGUUAAUUUAUCAGCCAUUUGCAAAGAUAUUUUAGUAGGUGUGAGUUUAUUCAAAUGAAGUCUUUUAUAUAAAGAGAAAGGCACAACACUAACACCAGCUCCCAAGUCACACAAAGCAGUUUUCACAUAAUUUCUUUUGAUGGAGCAAGGCAUAGUUGGUAUUCCUGGAUCUCCAAGUUUCUUAGGUACUCCAUCUUUAAAAGUAUAAUUAGCAAGCAUAGUGGAGAUUUCAGCUUCCAGCUUCUUUGUCUUAUUGGUGAUGAUGUAUUUCAUGUACUUUGCAUAAGGAGGCAUUUUAAGGAUAUCAGUCAAGCGAGUACGCAAAAAGACCGGCCUCAGCAUUUCAGCAACGCGUUCAAAUUCUUCAUCAUAUUUCUUUUUAGUUGACUUAGGUGGAAGGGAAUAGGUUUUUGAACCCAUGGGUCUCUUUCUUUACCGUGUUUUCUAGCAACAAAGUCUCUUUUAUCAUAUCUUUUAUUCUUGGGUUGUGGGUUAUCAAGAUCAACUGUUGGUUCUAUCUCAACAUCAUUGUCUGGUUCUUUAUUUUUUUUGAGUGUCUUCAUGUACCUCAUCAUUAUCUUUUUUAUUAUCAGAAGGUGAGUGUUCACUACCAGAUUGAGUUUCAGCAUCAGAGAUAGAAACUUCAUUAUCAGGAGGUUUUUCUGCUCCAGGUUCACUAGAGGCAUGCAAAGUCCUAUCAUUUUUCUUUUUCUUUUUUCUUUUAGAAGGACUACGUGCAUCAGUAUUAGCUCUUUGAGAGUCUUGUUCAAUUCUUUUUGGGUGUCCUUCAGGAUAAAGUGGUUCCUGAGUCAUUCUACCUCCUCUGGUCAUUACUCUAACAGCAUGCUCAUUGAUAUUAUUAUUCAUUUCAUAUAACAACUCUCUUUGAGAUUUAGCAACUUGUUCUAACUGGGCUUGAACCAUAGAAGCAUGCUUUCCCACACCUCUAACAUCAUUUGAGAUUCUAAAUAACAAGUCACUCAAGCGAGCAAUCAUAUCAGAAUUGUAUUUCAAUUGUUUCAUAACAUUUGCAUUGAAGUGAGCUUGUUUUCUAAUGUAAUUCUCAAACUCAUAAAGGCAUUGGCUAGGGUGGAUAUUGUGAGGAUAAUCAUUAUCAUUGAAUUUCAUUAGAGAAUUUACCUCUACCACCUUAGGCAGUGGUGGUGUAUCAAGCCCAUGUAUUCCUUCAAUAGGAGGUAAAAUUUUAACAUCCCCAACUUUAAUACCUUUUUCCUUCAUAGAUUUCUUCGCCUCUUGCAUAUCUUCAGGAUUGAGACAUAAGAUACCCCUCUUCUUUGGAGUGUAAUUAAGCGGUGGUUCAGGAAGAGUCCAAUCAUCAUAAUUUUUCAAUAUGUUAUUCAAUAAUUCUUCAACUUGCACAAUAGUUCGUUCCCUGAAAAUACAACCAGCACAACCAUCUAGGAAAUCCCUAGAAGCAUCGGUUAGUCCAUUGAAGAUAUCAAGUAUUUCAUUUUUUAAGAGGAAGGUCAGGCAAAGCAUUAAGCAAUUGGAGAAGCCUCCCCCAAGCUUGUGGGAGACUCUCUUCUUCAAUUUGCACAAAGUUAAAUAUUUCUUGUAAAGCAGCUUGUUUCUUAUGAGCAGGAAAAUAUUUUUUCAGAGAAGUAAUAAAUCAUAUCCUGGAGACUGCGCACACAACUAGGAGCAAGAUUAUUUUUCCAAGAUUUAGCAUCACCCUUUAAUGAGAACGAAAAUAAUUUGAGAAUAUAGUAAUAACGGGUUUUCUCAUCAUGAGCAAAAAGGGUGGCUAUGCAUGUCAUUCAACUUAGUAAGUGAUACGUCCAUUUUGCAUCAUGCUUUGAUAUUGAUAUUUAUUGCAUUAUGGGAUGUUAUUACACGUUAUGUCACAGUACUUAUGCCCAUUCUCUCUUAUUUUACACGGUUUACAUGAAGAGGGAGAAUGCCGGCAGCUGGAAUUCUGGCCUGGAAAAGGAGCAAAUAUUAGAGACCUAUUCUGCACAACUCCAAAAGUCUUGAAACUCCACAGAAGUUAUUUUUGGAAUUAAUAAAAAAUACUAAACAAAGAAAAUACCAAAGGGGGCCCACACCCUGGCCACGAAAGUGGCGGGCGCGCCCUACCCCCCUGGGCGCGCCCCCCUGCCUUGUGGGCCACCUGGCUGGCCUCCUGUGCCCAUCUUCUGCUAUAUGAAGUCUUUCACCCUGGAAAAAAAAUCAUGAGCAAGCUUUCGGGACGAAACACCGCCGCCACGAGGCGGAACCUUGGCGGAACCAAUCUAGGGCUCCGACGGAGCUGUUCUGCCGGGGAAACAUCCCUCUGGGAGGGGGAAAUCAUCAUCAUCAUCAUCACCAUCAAUCCUCUCAUCGGGAGGGGGUCAAUCUCCAUCAACAUCUUCACCAGCACCAUCUCCUCUCAAGCCCUAGUUCAUAUCUUGUAUCCAAUCUUUGUCUCAAAACCUCAGAUUGGUACCUGUGGAUUGCUAGUAGUGUUGAUUACUCCUUGUAGUUGAUGCUAGUUGGUUUAUUCGGUGGAAGAUCAUAUGUUCAGAUCCUUUAUGCAUAUUAAUACCUCUCUCAUUAUGAACAUGAAUAUGAUUUGUGAGUAGUUACAUUUGUUCCUGAGGACAUGGGAGAAGUCUUGCUAUAAGUAGUCAUGUGAAUUUGGUAUUCGUUCGAUAUUUUGAUGAGAUGUAUGUUGUCUUUCCUCUAGUGGUGUUAUGUGAAUGCCAACUACAUGACACUUCACCAUUGUUUGGGCCUAGAGGAAGGCAUUGGGAAGUAAUAAGUAGAUGAUGGGUUGCUAGAGUGACAGAAGCUUAAACCAUAGUUUAUGAGUUGCUUCCUAAGGGGCUGAUUUGGAUCCACAUGUUUCAUUCUAUGGUUAGGUUUACCUUAAUACUUCUUUUGUAAUUGCGGAUGCUUGCAAUAGGGGUUAAUCAUAAGUGGGAUGCUUGUCCAAGAAAGGGCAGUACCCAAGCACCGGUCCACCCACAUACCAAAUUAUCAAAGUAAUGAACGUGAAUCAUAUGAGCGUGAUGAAAACCAGCUUGAUGAUAAUUCCCAUGUGUCCUCGGGAACGCUUUUCUCUAUAUAAGAAUUUGUCCGGGCUUGUCCUUUGCUACAAAAAGGAUUGGGCCAUCUUGCUGCACCUUAUUUACUUUCAUUACUUGUUACCCGUUACAAAUUACCUUAUCACAAAACUAUCUGUUACUGAUACUUUCAGUGCUUGUAGAGAAUACCUUACUGAAAACCGCUUGUCAUUUCCUUCUGCUCCUCGUUGGGUUCGACACUCUUACUUAUAGAAAGUACUACGAUAGAUCCCCUAAACUUUUUGGUCAUCAAGACUCUUUUCUGGCGCCGUUGCCGGGGAGUGAAGCGCCUUUGGUAAGUGGAACUUGGUAAGGAAAAAUUUAUAUAGUGUGCUGAAAUUUACUAUCACUUGUUACUAUGAAACAUAAUCCUUUGAGGGGCUUGUUCGGGGUAUCUUCGCCCCGACUAGUAGAGCAAAGAGUUUCUCCUCAACCUACUGAACCUACUGAAAAUGUUUACUUUGAAAUUCCUUCGGGUAUGGUAGAGAAACUGCUAGCUAAUCCUUUUACUGGAGAUGGAACAUUGCAUCCCGAUUUGCACCUAAUCUAUGUGGAUUAUUUAAGCUUGCAGGUAUGCCUGAGGAUGUUAUCAAGAAGAAGGUAUUCCCUUUAUCUCUGAAGGGAAAGCCAUUGACAUGGUUUAGGCUAUGUGAUGAUAUGGGAUCAUGGAACUACUACCGAUUGAAAUUGGAAUUUCAUCAGAAGUUUUAUCCUAUGCAUCUUGUUCAUCGUGAUCAUAAUUAUAUACAUAAUUUUUGGCCUCACGAAGGAGGAAUCAUCGCUCAAGAUUGGGGGAGGCUUAAGUCAAUGUUAUAUUCAUGCCCCAAUCGUGAGCUCUCAAGAGAAAUUAUUAUUCAAAAAAUUUAUGCUCCACUUUCUCUCAAUAAUCGCUCCAUGAUCGAUACUUCUUGUACUGGAUCUCUUAUGAUGAAGACUAUUGAACUCAGAUGAGAUUUAUUGGAAAGAAUUAAACGCAACUCUGAAGAUUGGGAACUUGACGAAGUUAAGGAGUCAGGUAUAACACCUAAGUUUGAUUGUGUUAAAUCUUUUAUGGAUACCGAUGCUUUUCGUGAAUUUAGCACUAAAUAUGGACUUGACUCUGAGAUAGUAGCUUCUUCCUGUGAAUAAUUUGCUACUCAUGGUGACCUCCCUAAGGAGAAGUGGUUUAAAUAUAAUCCCCCCAUUGAAGCAAAAGUACUUGCACCUAUUAAAGUUGAAGAAAAGACUAUCACGUAUAAUGAUCCUAUUGUUCCAACUACCUAUAUUGAGAAACCACCCUUCCCUGUUAGAAUAAAGGAUAAUGCUAAAGCUUCAACUAUGGUUCGUAAGAGUAAUACUAGAACGCCUACACCACCUGAGCAAAUUAAAUUUGAACCUAGUAUUGCUAUGGUUAAAGAUCUCUUGGCUGAUAAUAUUGAUGGGCAUGUUAUUCACUUCUGUGAUGAAGCUACUAGAAUUGCUAGACCCGAUACUAGAAAUAAACAUAGACCUGUUAUAGGCAUGCCUAUUAUUUCUGUUAAAAUAGGAGAUCAUUGUUAUUAUGGCUUGUGUGAUAUGGGUGCUACUACAAGUGUGAUACCUCAUUCCUUAUACAAAGAAAUUAUGCAUGAUAUUGCACCCGCUGAGACAGAAGAAAUUGAUGUUACAAUUAAGCUUUCCAAUAGAGAUACUAUUUCACCAGUUGGGAUUGUUAGAGAUGUUGAAGUCUUGUGUGGGAAAGUUAAAUAUCCUGCUGAUUUUCUUGUUCUUGGUUCCCCACAAGAUAGCUUUUGCCCAUCAUAUUUGGUAGACCCUUCUUGAAUACUGUUAAUGCUAAGAUAGAAUGCAAAAAGGAUGUUGUUACUAUUGGUUUGGGGGAUAUAUCUCAUGAGUUUAAUUUUGCUAAAUUUCGUAGACAACCCCAUGAUAAAGAAUUGCCUAGUAAGGAUGAAAUUAUUGGUCUUGCUUAUAUUGCCGUGCCUCCUAAUGAUCCUUUAGAACAAUAUUUGCAAGACCAUGAAAAUGACAUGUUUAUGAAUGAAAGAAGGGAGAUAGAUGAAGUAUUCUUUAAACAGGGACCAAUUUUGAAACACAACUUGCCUGAUGAAAUUCUAGGGGAUCCUCCACCACCCAAGGGUGAUCCCGUGUUUGAGCUUAAACCACUGUCCGAUACUCUUAAAUAUGCUUAUCUUGAUGAAAACAAGAUAUAUCAUGUUAUUAUUAGUGCUAACCUUUCAGAGCAAGAAGAGGAGAAAUUAUUGAAAACUCUGAAGAAGCACCGUGCUGCUAUUGGAUAUACUCUUGAUGAUCUUAAGGGCAUUAGUCCCACUCUAUGCCAACACAAAAUAAAAUUGGAGAAACAUGCCAAACCAGUUGUUGAUCACCAACAACGGUUAAAUCUUAAGAUGAAAGAAGUGGUAAGAAAAGAAAUAUUAAAGCUUCUGGAGGCAGGUAUAAUUUAUCUCGUUGCUAAUAGUCAGUGGGUAAGUCCUGUCCAUUGUGUCCCUAAGAAGGGAGGUAUUAUUGUCGUUCCUAAUGAUAAAGAUGAACUGGUCCCACAAAGAAUUGUUACCGGUUAUAGGAUGGUAAUUGAUUUCCGCAAAUUAAAUAAAGCUACUAAAAAAGAUCAUUGCCCCUUACCUUUUAUUGAUCAAAUGCUAGAAAGAUUAUCCAAACAUACACAUUUUUGCUUUCUAGAUGGUUACUCUAGUUUCUCUCAAAUACCUGUGUAAAAAUAGGAUAAAAAAGACCACUUUUACUUGCCCUUUUGGUACCUUUGCUUAUAGACGUAUGCCUUUUGGUUUAUGUAAUGCACCUGCUACCUUUCAAAGAUGCAUGAUGGCUAUAUUCUCUUACUUUUGUGAAAAGAUUAUUGAGGUUUUCAUUGAUGAUUUAUCCGUUUAUGGAUCUUCUUUUUGAUGAUUGCUUGAGCAACCUUGAUCGAGUUUUGCAGAGAUGUGAAGAAACUAGUCUUGUCAUGAAUUGGGAGAAGUACCACUUGAUGGUUAAUGAAGGUAUUGUCUUAGGGCAUAAAAUUUCUGAAAGAGGUAUUGAAGUUGACAAAGCUAAAGUUGAUGCUAUUGAAAAGAUGUCAUGUCCUAAAGACUUUAAAGGUAUAAGAAGUUUCCUUGGUCACGCCGGUUUUUAUAGGAGGUUUAUUAAAGACUUCUCUGAAAUUUAUAGGCCUCUGACUAAUCUCUUACAAAAAGAUAUUCCUUUGUCUUCGAUAAUGAUUGUGUAGAAGCAUUUGAAAUACUUAAGAAAGCUUUGAUUUCUACACCUAUUGUUCAGCCACCUGAUUGGAAUUUACCCUUUGAAAUUGCGUGCGAUGCUAGUAUUAUGCCAUAGGUGCUGUUCUAGGACAAAGAGUUGAUAAGAAACUAAAUGUUAUUCAAUAUGCUAGUAAAACUCUAGACAGUGCCCAGAGAAAUUAUGCUACUACUGAAAAAGAAUUUUUAGCAGUUGUAUUUGCUUGUGAUAAGUUCAGACCUUAUAUUUUCGAUUCUAAAGUAACUGUUCACACUGAUCAUGCUGUUAUUAAAUAUCUUAUGGAAAAGGAAGAUGCUAAACCUAGACUUAUUAGAUGAGUUCUCUUGCUACAAAAAUUUGAUUUGCAUAUCCUAUAUACUUAAGAAGUUCACCCCCACUACUUGAUUUAUCUCAACAUGCAAUGUAGACACGUCAGCAUCCAAUCACAGCAAGCCAUGUCACACAUCAUACAGUCCCACACAGCCCACCUUGUGAGGUCAUUUCCCUCAAAAGAAAAAACAAAAUCUAUCUAAUUUUCCCCUACGCAGACACGCCCCACACCCCUGGUCAGACCCAUCCCCUUCUUGCGCUUUGGAUUCUCCUCGCGGCGGCGGCGGCGCUCCAGACACGGCCAUCCCCAUCCCCAUUGCCUCUCCCCCUCCCCCGUCAAUAAUAUCCACCCCGCAUCCCCAACCUUCCUUCGCUUCUACCAUCUAUCUCCCUCCGAUUCGUCGCCUUGGCCAUCUUAUUCGCGUUGGGUUUCAAGGUCGGCAUGUCCUCUUCGCCUACCGAUGCCAUCCAGUGCUACCUUCGAUUCUGAGUGAGUGAUCGUUCAACAAUGAGGAAGUCCCAUGGCGUUGUAGUCUUAGAUCAUGACUGCCCCAUCAACGCAUCAUGAAAUCCUCACCAAAGGUUAGGCUCCAUGAUCUCAUCAUGUCCCACGCAUGUAGAUCUAAUGUUGUUGAUUACUUUGUGCAAGUCUGGGAUUAGCAGUUCUCAAGUUAGGGAAAGUAUGAACGUUUCAUUAUUUUUUAAGACUGCAGCUUUUGAUGUUGUAGGCCACAAGAACCGGUAUCUAGCAUUGCCCCUCCCACUGCUUGGGAGUUUUUUAGGAUCGCAAGAUCUGGAAGGGUGUCACGCCGACGGGGAUCAGAGUAGGCAAAUAGAUAGGACAAGGUCUUCUCGAUCUCGCCUGGCUGGCCCAAUAGGAAAACUCGACCUUAAUCUGCAGGUAUGUACUAUUCUUAAUAUAGUUUCAUCCAAAUUCGAUCCAUCGACAAGCCGAUCUAUAUGCAUGUAUUCCUGUGUUGCAGCUAUAUGCAACGUCGACACGUGCGAAGGUGGCCGUGGCAGGUUUACUCGUGGCCUGAUAGAUGAUGGCCGGUAGCAACGUUGUUCUUCCAUGGUUUUGAUCUCACCCUUUUGAUGCAUGAGUGUUCUUCCAUGUUUUUGAUCUCACCCUUUUGAUGCACGAGGCUUUGGCAUCGGUCCGUAAUAAACAUUCAUGUUCUUUCUUUCUUUUUUUGAAAAGAAGGCAGCCAUUCUUUCAUUUUAUCAGAGGAAAAGUGUCAGAUGAAAAGUCAAGGGAAAAGGAUCAGAUGAAGAAAAAAGCCAGCGCGGAUAUUCAUUAUUUCCCUGCAUUUGGAAUUUAUUAUAUUUAAGGGUCUGUUGCAUUUGACAUGCUUUAGCCAAUUCCGGUAUGAAGUUUCUGUUAUAGCUUGGUUGCUUUUGUUUCAUGUGAUUGGCGCUUUUUGAAUAUGCACAAAAAAACCUUUCAGUUGUGAUUGUCGAAAUGUAUUGAUAGCAUAUAUAUGUGUAUACUGACAUUCCUUCUAAUGCAUGUACUUAUUCUCCUUGAAGUAAUUAUUUGUUUAAAGGUAAUUUCCAGGUCAUGUUCAUUCAACACUACUGGGAACCGCUGAAAGCUGUACAAUGAUGACGACCAUAAGUGUUACCAAUAAACAAUGAGGCAAGUAUGGUUUUCAUGUUUGGUUUUAAUCUAACACUUGAUUGUACAGAGUCAUUUUCUUAGUUUUCUUUGUGGAUAUUUGAUUGUGUGUUACUUACGGGAUUGACAAUCAUUGAUUCUUUAGUUGUCUGACAUGUGAUCUUCCCCUCUAUUAAAUGCAAAAUAUGCCUUUGAAUCCCCCGGAUAUAUUAAUUAUAGUUUUUUAUUAAAACUUGAAGUAGGAGCCUCACUUAUUUUCAAAUCUUAUACUCUUUUCAAUUUUUGAAAGAAGUGCUUCUAGCAUGGCGGGAAGUCAUGUAGGUGUAAAGGCUACAACCUUGAUUCUCACAAAAAGGGUGCCACACUGAGUUUGCAAUUGCGCCAUUGCGGGCAAUGGAGCCAGCUUUUGGGUCCUUCCCUUACAUAAAAAAGGCAUGCCUUUGGGUUCCUUCUUAUUUUCCUGACGGUCAAGUUUUUUUAAUAAUUUCCAGCAAUAAAAAGAUUGUGCUUUCACACACCUCUUUUAUGUUUGCGUGUUUGGAAUAAUUUUGAUCUUAUGUUUUAUUAUGUUCUGUCCAAUGUUGGCAUGUCUUGAAAGCGAAACCAUCUUACUUGCAAACCUUGAAGGCAUGUAUUGUUGACUGAAAUGUUAUAAAUAAACCGAGGAUGCUUGCUUAUAUUGCUUCCAUCCUUCCUUCGUUACACAUUAAUACAAGAAAGUUGGACAGGGGACACUCUGGUUUCUUCCUUCUGGCCCCACUUCUAAUUGUACUACCCUAUUUUUUCCAGUGCAAUGUACUGAUGAUGGAAUGACUGACGAGACUUUGUUAGUUUUAUUUAAUAAAAUGUUACCAGGGGCUUCUAUUUUUUCAUGGAGUCAUGCAAUGUGUAUCAACACUAACUCCACACAUAAGUGAACUAUAGUAUCCCGCAGCAACGCGUGGGGUAUCAUCUAGUUAUUGAUAGAAAGGGAGCUGAGAACCCCGUUGCAGACAACUUGUCUAGGUUAGAGAAUGUUCUUGAUGACCCACUACCUAUUGAUGAUAGCUUUCCUGAUGAACAAUUAGCUGUCAUAAAUGUUUCUCGUACUGCUCCAUGGUAUGUUCAUUAUGCUAAUUACAUUGUUGCUAAAUUUAUACCACCUAGUUUCACAUAUCAACAAAAGAAAAAGUUUUUCUAUGACUUAAGACAUUACUUCUGGGAUGACCCACACCUUUAUAAAGGAGUAGAUGGUCUUAUUAGACGUUGUGUACCUGAGCAUGAACAGGAACAGAUCCUACGCAAGUGUCACUCUGAGGCUUAUGGAGGACACCACGCUGGAGAUAGAACUGUGCAUAAGGUAUUGCAAUCCGGUUUUUAAUGACCUACUCUCUUCAAGGAUGACCGUAAGUUUGUCUUGUCUUGUGAUGAAUGUCAAAGAAUUGGUAACAUUAGUAGACGUCAAGAAAUGCCUAUGAAUUAUUCUCUUGUUAGUGAACCAUUUGAUGUUUGGGGCUUUGAUUAUAUGGGACCAUUCCCUUCCUCUAAUGGGCAUACACAUAUUUUAGUUGCUGUUGAUUAUGUUACUAAGUGGGUAGAAGCUAUUCCAACUAGUAGUGUUGAUCAUAACACCUCUAUUAAGAUGCUUAAAGAAGUUAUUUUUCCAAGGUUCAGAGUCCCUAGAUACCUAAUGAGUAAUGACUGUUGGUGGUUCACAUUUUAUUCAUGGUGCUUUCUGUAAAAUGCUUUCUAAGUAUGAUGUUAAUCAUAGAACUGUAUCCCCAUAUCACCCACAGUCUAGUGGCCAAGUAGAACUGAGUAACAGAGAGCUUAAAUUGAUCUUGCAAAAGAAUGUUAAUAGAUCUAGAAAGAAUUGGUCCAAGAAACUUGAUGAUGCAUUAUGGGCUUAUAGAACUGCAUAUAAAAAUCCUAUGGGUAUGUCUCCAUAUAAAAUGGUUUAUGGAAAAGCAUGUCACUUACCUCUCGAACUAGAACAUAAGGCAUAUUGGGCCAUUAAAGAGCUUAAUUAUGAUUUCAAACUUGCCGGUGAGAAGAGGUUAUUUGAAAUUAGCUAACUUGAUGAAUGGAGAACUCAAGCUACGAGAAUGCCAAACUGUUUAAAGAAAAAGUUAAAAGAUGGCAUGACAAAAGGAUACAAAAGCAUGAGUUUAAUGUAGGUGAUUAUGUGUUGCUUUUCAACUCUCGUUUAAGAUUUUUUGCAGGAAAACUCCUCUCUAAAUGGGAAGAUCCUUACGUUAUCGAGGAGGUCUAUCGUUCUGGUGCCAUAAAAAUCAACGACUUCGAAGGCACAAAUUCGAAGGUGGUGAACGGCCAAAGAAUCAAACAUUAUAUCUCAGGUAAUCCAAUAAAUGUUUAAACUAACGUUAUUGAAACCGUGACCCUGGAAGAAUACAUAAUGGACACUUUCCAGAACAUUUCAGACUCCGAAGGAAUAGGUAUGUGGUACGGUAAGUAAACUGACUCCAAUACAGUUCUAAUAGCAAUUUUUCCGAUUUGGAAUAUUUAAGAAAAUAGGAAAAUAAGAAGUAGUCCGGGAAGGACACGAGGCAUCCACGAGGGUGGAGGGCGCGCCCCCUGCCUCGUGGGCACAUUGUGUGCUCUCCGGACUCCAUUUUAUCGCACGAUACUUCUUUUGGUCGGUAAAAAUUCAUUAUAUAAUCUCCCGAAGGUUUUGACCACCGUAUCACGCAAAUAUCCUCUAUUUUUGUUUCAAGCUAUUUUCUGUCAGAGUUGUCAAGGCCAGGCGUCAUGUCGUCACCCUCCUCCAACAAUGAAGGCAACGAAGCUUGGCUAAUGAAGAUAGAGAUGAAGAGAGAAGAACCUGGGGAGAUCAACAAGGAUGAUAGGAUCAAGAAGGUCAUGGAGGAUCAAGCUCCGGUGGCAGAAGAAGAAGAAGACAUCCUUCAACCCCAUCACAACCCUCUUACCCCAACUGAGAUUGAAGCUUUCAAGAUGAUUGAGUUAGCUCGCAUACAAAACAAGUAUCUCACAUGUGAAAAUAUUUUGUUGAAGGAGCAUAUCACCGCACUCAAGGGCAUUAUCCGCAAACUGGAGGAGCUCUUACACUCGAUGUGCGACUAUCCAUCAUCACCACCACCUUUUUCACCAGCAAAGGAGGACUAAUCACAUGGGUAUGGGCACUCCCCUUGGCAACUGCCAAGCUUGGGGGAGGUGCCCCGGUAUCGUAUCACCAUCACACUCCUAUCUUUAUCGUUUUUCUUAGUUCGAUCCUUUUGGUAAUAUCUUGAUCAAGUAGAAUAAAGUUUUAGUAUGAUCUAGUUUUGAGUUUUGCUUUAUGAUUCGUCUAUGUAAUCGAGUCCGUGAGCUAUAUAUCAUAAAGAUUAGUCUUGAGUCAAGGGCUUUGCUAUCUUGCUAUGAUCUUGAGGGAAUAAAAGAAAAAGAAAGAAUAAAAAGAAAUAAAGAGAUCAUAUUGAUCUUAUGGAGAGUAAUGACUUCACAUAUAAAGAGUAUGAUGAAUAAAAGUUGUUGAGAGUUAACAAACAUAGUUUUGGUCAUCAUUGCAAUUAAUAGGAAGUAAUAAAGAAAGAGAGGUUCUCACAUGUAAAUAUACUAUCUUGGACAUCUUUUAUGAUUGUGAGCACUCAUUAAAAUAUGACAUGCUAAAGAGUUGAUGUUGGACAAGGAAGACAACGUAAUGGGUUAUGUUUUCUUAUAUCCGAAAUAAAGUAUAUUGUCAUGGAUCAUCCAACAUGUUGAGCUUGCCUUUCCCCCUCAUGCUAGCCAAAUUCCUUGCACCAAGUAGAGAUACUACUUGUGCUUCUGAAUAUCCUUACACCCAGUUUUUCCAUGAGAGUCCACCACAUCUACCUAUGGAUUGAGUAAGAUCCUUCAAGUAAGUUGUCAUUGUUGUAUGUAAUAAAAACUGCUCCCUAAAUAUGUAUGACUUAUUAGUGUGGAGAAAAUAAACUUUAUACGAUCUUGUGAUAUGGAAGCAAUAAAAGCGACGGACUGCAUAAUAAAGGUCCAUAUCACAAGUGGCAAUAUAAAGUGACGUUCUUUUGCAUUAAGAUUUCAUGCAUCCAACCAUAAAAGCACAUGACAACCUCUGCUUCCCUCUGCGAAGGGCCUAUCUUUUACUUUUGUCUUAUAUCUUAUGCAAGAGUCAUGGUGAUCUUCACCUUUCCUUUUUACAUUUUAUCCUUUGGCAAACACCUCGUGUUGGAAAGAUCCUGAUAUAUAUAUCCAAUUGGAUGUAAGUUUGCAUGAACUAUUAUUGUUGACAUUACCCUUGAGGUAAAAGGUUGGGAGGCAACACUAUAAGCCCCUAUCUUUCUCUGUGUCCGAUUGAAGCUCCAUACCCAUAAUUAUUGUGUGAGUGUUAGCAAUUACGAAAGACUAAAUGAUAGUUGAGUGUGUGGACUUGCUGAGAAGCUCUUAUAUUGACUCUUUCCGAUGUUAUGAUAAAUUGCAAUUGCUUCAAUGACCGAGAGCAUAGUUUGUUAGUCCUCAAUGAAGUUUCUGAUUCAUACUUGACAUUGUGGAUAGAUUAUUACUUGAGCAUAAUAAAUCAUAUGACGAUGUUACGAUCACGAUGCCCUCAUGUCCGUAUUUUGUUUUAUCGACACCUCCAUCUCUAAACAUGUGGACAUAUUUUUCGUUAUCAUCUUCCACUUGAGGACAAGCGGGGUCUAAGCUUGGGGGAGUUGAUACGUCCAUUUUGCAUCAUGCUUUGAUAUUUAUAUUUAUUGCAUUAUGGGCUAUUAUUACAUGUUAUGUCACAAUACUUAUGCAUAUUCUCUCUUAUUUUAAAAGGUUUACAUGAAGAGGGAGAAUACCGGCAGCUGGAAUUCUGGGCUGGAAAAGGAGCAAAUAUUAGAGACCUAUUCUGCGCAACUCCAAAAGUCCUGAAACUCCACGGAAGUUAUUUUUGGAAUUAAUAAACAAUAUUGAGCGAAGAAAAUACCAGAGGGGGCCCAUGCCACGAGGGUGGGGGGUGUGCCCUACCCCCCUGGGCGCGCCCCCUGCCUCGUGGGCCACCUGGCAGGCCUCGGGUGCCCAUCUUCUGCUAUAUGAAGUCUUUCACCCUGGAAAAAAUCAUAAGCAAGCUUUCGGGAUGAAACACCGCCACCAUGAGGCGAGACCUUGGCGGAACCAAUCUAGGGCUCUGGCGGAGCUGUUCUGCCGGGGAAACAUCCCUCUGGGAGGGGAAAUCGUCAUCAUCAUCACCAUUGAUCCUCUCAUCGGGAGGGUGUCAAUCUCCAUCAACAUCUUCACCGGCACCAUCUCCUCUCAAACCCUAGUUCAUCUCUUGUAUCCAAUCUUUGUCUCAAAACCUCAUAUUGGUACCUGUGGGUUGCUAGUAGUGUUGAUUACUCCUUGUAGUCAAUGCUAGUUGGUUUAUUCAGUGGAAGAUCAUAUGUUCAGAUCCUUUAUGCAUAUUAAUACCCCUCUGAUUAUUAACAUGAAUAUGAUUUGUGAGUAGUUACGUUUGUUCCUGAGGACAUGGGAGAAGUCUUGCUAUAAGUAGUCAUGUGAAUUUGGUAUUUGUUCGAUAUUUUGAUGAGUGUAUGUUGUCUUUCCUCUAGUGGUGUUAUGUGAAAGCUGACUACAUGACACUUCACCAUUGUUUGGGCCUAGAGGAAGGCAUUGGGAAGUAAUAAGUAGAUGAUGGGUUGCUAGAGUGACAGAAGCUUAAACCCUAGUUUAUGAGUUGCUUAGUAAGAGGCUGAUUUGGAUCCACAUGUUUCAUGCUAUGGUUAGGUUUACCUUAAUACUUCUUUUGUAGUUGCGGAUGCUUGCAAUAGGGGUUAAUCAUAAGUGGGAUUCUUGUCCAAGAAAGGGCAGUACCCAAGCAUCGGUACACCCACAUACCAAAUUAUCAAAGUAACGAACAUGAAUCAUAUGAGCGUGAUGAAAACUAGCUUGAUGAUAAUUCCCAUGUGUCCUCGGGAGCGCUUUUCUCUAUAUAAGAAUUUGUCCAGGCUUGUCCUUCACUACAAAAGGAUUGGGCCAUCUUGCUGCACCUUAUUUACUUUCAUUACUUGUUACCCGUUACAAAUUACCUUAUCACAAAACUAUCUGUUACCGAUAAUUUCAGUGCUUGUAGGGAAUACCUUACUGAAAACCGCUUGUCAUUUCCUUCAGAUCCUCAUUGGGUUCGACACUCUUACUUAUCGAAAGGACUACGAUAGAUCCCCUACACUUGUGGGUCAUCAGUUAGAUGUGCCACAACAGUUUCAGUUUCAUAACCAUGGAAAGGAUCAGAUUCAACCAAAGUAAUCAACUCUGGGUCAACAGAGAAUUCAUAAUCCUUGUCAUCAAUAAAGAUAGGUGAAGUAGCAAACUUAGGAUCACAUUUCAUUUUAGCAUUCAAAGAUUUCUCUUUAUACUUGCAUAACAAUUGGAUCAUCUUUAUCCUUACAAGCAAGAAUAUCUCUAGUUGCCUCUUCACCCAUAACAUAACCUUCCGAUACCUUUGGCAAUUCAUAUCUAGGAGGAAUAGUUCUAGUAGGUGUUUCAAGAUUUUCAGUUUCAAGAUCAUCAUCAGUUUCAACAAUAUCAUGUUGUCUUACCCUAGCAAUUUGUUCAUCAAGAAAGUCACCUAGUGGCACAUCAUUAUCAAGCAAGGUACUGGCAUAAUCAUAAGUAUCAUUCAUAGCAGAAGUAGCAUCAUCAAUAACUUGCGACAUAUCAGGAUUGAUAGCAUGUGGUGGUGUUGCAAGUUUACUUAUAACAAAAGGUGAAUCUAAAGCGGCGCUAGAUGGCAGUUCCUUACCUCCCCUCGUCUUACAGGGAAAAAUCUUAGUCUUAUCACCCUUCAUAUUCUUCAUAGUGAUAAUUUGAUAAUAAUCCCAAGUGACUCAACAAAUAUAGCUAUGCUCCCCGGCAACGGUGCCAGAAUAAGUCUUGAUAACCCACAAGUAUAGGGGAUCGCAAAAACAAUUGAGGGUAGAGUACUCAACCCAAAUUUAUAGAUUCGACACAAGGGGAGCCAAAGAAUAUUUUUAAGUAUUAGCAGCUGAGCUGUCAAUUCAACCACACUUGGAGAUUAAUUAUCUGCAGCAAAGUAAUCGGUAGCAAAGUAGUAUCAUAGUUUUGAUAAUAGUAGCAACAGCAAUAGUAAUGUUAACAGUGAUAGCAGUAGUUUUGUGACAAGUGCAGCAGUAACGGUAGCAGUAGUAACUUAGCAAGAACAAUAUAAGAGAAAUUUGUAGGCAUUGGAUUGAUGAUUUGUUGGAUGAUAUUCAUCAUGUGACAGUCAUAACCUAGGGCGAUACGGCACUAGCUCCAGUUCAUAAAUAUAAUGUAGGCAUGUAUUCCGUAAAUAGUCAUACGUGCUUAUGGAAAGAACUUGCGUGACAUCUUUUGUCCUACCCUCCUGUGGUAGCAGAGUCCUAUUGGAAACUAAGGGAUAUUAAGGCCUCCUUUUAAUAGAGAACUGGAACAAAGUAUUAGCAUGCGGUGAAUACAUGAACUCCUCAAACUAUGGUCAUCAUCGGGAGUGGUCCCGACUAUUGUCACUCCGGGGUUGCUGGAUCAUAACACAUAGUAGGUGACUAUAACAUGCAAGAUCGGAUCUAGAACAUAGAUAUGAUGGUGAUAACAUAAACGGUUCAGAUCUGAAAUCAUGGCACCAGGGCCCAAAGUGACAAGCAUUAAGCAUGGCAAAGUCAUAGCAACAUCAAUCUCAGAACAUAAUGGAUACUAGGGAUCAAGCCCUAACAAAACUAACUAGAUUACAUGAUGAAUCUCAUCCAACUCCUCAACGACCAGCAAGCCUACGAAGGAAUUACUCACUCCCGGUGGGGAGCAUCAGGGAAUUGGCGAUGGAGAAGGGUUGGUGAUGAUGAAUAUCAAAGAUCCCCCUCUCUGGAGCCCCAAACAUACUCCAUAUAUGGCCUCCCGAUGAAGAACAAGAGGAGAAGGCGGCUCUGUCUCGUGGAAUGCGAUAAUUCUUUCUCUCUGAUUUUUUCUGGAAAAAUAGGAUUUUUACAGUUUCGGGGUCUGCGGGGCCACUUGGAGGGGGGCGUGCCCUGGUGGGUUGUGCCCACCUAGGUGCCCCCCUACGGUGGUUCUUGGCUCCAUAAAUUCUCAUUUAUUGUGUAAAACAUCCUCACAAAGUUUCGUUACAUUCCGAGAAUAUUUAUUUCUGCACAAAGAACAACACCAUGGUAGUUCUGCCGAAAACAGCGUCAAUCCGGGGUCAGUUUCAUUCAAACCAUGCAAAUUAGAGUCCAAAACAAGAGGAAAAGCGUUAGGAAAAGCAGAUACGUUGGAGACGUAUCACUUUCUUCGUCAAAAAUAGAAACUUUGGAGUGAUUAUUUGCUGCACUUUGAGGGAUUACCAUGAUGUUCAAUUAUAUUAAUAAUGUUGAGAGAUUGCACUACUGAACGUAUGAACCAUAGGCCUUGUUUCUAAGCAUUGAGACACCAUUUUCAUCUCUUUCAUUACUUGUUACCUUGCUGCUUUUAUUUAUUCGGAUUAUAAAAAUAUAUUUCUACCAUCCAUAUUACACAUAUAUCACCCUACUUGAAUUUUAUCUUAAAAAACAUAUUUUAUCUCAUAUUUAUAGUAGUAGUAGUAAUCCAACUACGAGUGCCACUAAAAAUAAGAAAAUGUCUAUCUACUCGAGGGAAUACAUAAUUUUCUCUACGGUAUUCUCUAUUAAAAAAGUAUAGACCAGUACAUAUAUACAUAGCAAAGAAAAAAGGAAGAAAAACAGAGAAAGCCUAUCCAAUACCAGAUUUUUUCUAACAUGGGAAAAAAACUAAUAAUUCAAUGCAUACAAUGUUCAUUCUAGCUGAUCACUGAUCCAGCCUUGCAAAGUGUUCAAGUACUUUGCCUUAAUCAUGUGUUCCAGCAGUUUUAGAUCCUCUUUUACCCUGAACUUACAGCAGUUAAUACUUGGAACUUCUCUUCUAAAAAAAUCCCAUUUCUUUGUCCUAGAUGGCCCAACACCCUUGAAUAAUGAUUUCUACUGCAACGUGUCUUGGUAAUUCAGCCCUUGUCAAGAGAAUUCCAUCCACAAAAGAUAUACCAAGUUUCUUGUUGUGAAGUAUGUUGUGCCAACAGUCUUGAGAGAAUCCACAGUCCCAAAAAAGAUCUCUUGCAGUUUCUUCAGUAUCUUCAUGACAGAAAACACAUGUAUAACUUUCUAGAGAGAAUGAUUUCCUGUUGAGCAAGUUUCUGGUGUUCACCCUGCCAUGCAAAAGAAGCCACAAGAAAAAUGGGUGCCUCAACCUACAUGAACUCUUCCACAGCCAUUUAAACAACUAAUGUUCUUGCUGAGGAGGGCUUAGAUUAUGAUACAUCAUGAUAGAAGAAAGAUUACUUUUCUAGCCCUUACAAGUUCAAGAAUAAUCUUGUUGGUCAUUACCAUGCAUCUGCACCAGCUGUUGCAUUUGAGUGAAUUGGAUGUAAGCUUGAAUGGACAGUAGAGUCUUAAAUAAUUGUGUAUGAUCCUCAGUCCUAGUCAUCAUUUACAUAUAGAAUAUCAUUAUUUGCAAAAGAAAGAAGCUCUAGAAAUAUUUCCUUGAGUGGCUCUUCAGACCAUUUGUCAUGCCAUAGAAGCGUAGCCCGUCCAUUGCCCCAGUUUGCAGUUUGGAUUUGAUUUAUAAUCCUCAAACAAUCCCAGUGACUUCCCCACCAGCUGGACCCCUCCAUCUUAGAGCCUGGAUGUAUUGAGAGUAGUAUUUCUCCCACAUAAGUUGGACCCGUGGAAGGGGUUCCUUGUUAAGAAACUUCUGCAAUUUUCAUCACCAGGGCCUUAUUGUGCAGACUCACAUCCAAAAUUCCAAGACCACCUUACCACCUUGGUUUACAUAAAAAAUCCCAGGAAAUUAGUGUAGGGCCAACAACCAAUAGUCCAAGUUUUCUCCACAAGAAGUUCCUGAGAAAAUUAUUGAGCUGGCUAGUGAUUGAGGUAGGCAUGAGCAGAAUGCUCAUGAAGAAUAUUGGCAACACAAAAAAGACUGAUUUGAUUAACAAUAGUCUGCCAUGAUACGUCCAUUUUGCAUCAUGUUUUUAUAUUGAUAUUUAUUGCAUUAUGGGAUGUUAUUACACAGUAUAUCACAAUACUUAUGCCUUUUCUCUCUUAUUUUAUAAGGUUUACAUGAAGAGGGAGAAUGCCGGCAACUGGAUUUCUGUACUAGAAAAGGAGUAAAUAUUAGAGACCUAUUCUGCACAACUCCAAAAGUCCUGAAACUUCAUAGAGCAUGUUUGGGAAUAUAUAUAAAAUAUUGGGCAAAGAAAGAACCAGAGGGGACCACCAGCCAGCCACAAGGGUGGAGGGCGCGCCCUACCCCCUGAGCGCGCCCCCGACCUUGUGGGCCCCCUGACAGGCCUCCGGUGCCCAUCUAUGGCUAUAUGGUGUGUUUUGACCUGGAAAAAAUCAAAAGAAAGCUUUCGAGAUGAAUCACCGCCAUCUUGGGGCGGAACCUGAGCAGAGCCAAUUUAGGGCUCUCGCGGAGCUGUUCUGCCGGGGAAACAUCCCCCGGGGAGGGGGAAAUCAUCGCCAUCGUCAUCACCAUCGAUCUCUCAUUGAGAGGGGGUCAAUCUCCAUCAACAUCCUCACCAGUACCAUCUGCUCUCAAACCCUAGUUCAUCACUGGUAUUUGAUCUUGGUCCCAAAACCUCAGAUUGGUACAUGUGGGUUGUGAGUAGUGUUGAUUACUCCUUGUAGUUGAUGCUAGUUGGUUUAUCUUGUGGAAGAUUAUAUUUUCAAAUCCUUAAUGAUAAUUAAUACUCCUAUGAUCUUGAUUAUGAAUAUGCUUUGUGAGUAGAUACGUUUGUUCCUGAGCACAUGGUAGAAGUCUUGUUAUAAGUAAUCAUGUGAAUUUGGUAUUCGUUAGAUAUUUUGAUGAGAUGUAUGUUGUCUAUCCUCUAGUGGUGUUAUGUGAAUGUAGACUACAUGACACUCCACCAUUAUUUGGGCCUAGGGGAAGGCAUUGGGAAGUAAUAAGUAGAUGAUGGGUUGAUAGAGUGAUAGAAGCUUAAACCCUAGUUUAUGCGUUCCUUCGUAAGGGGCUGAUUUGGAUCCAUAUGUUUCAUGCUAUGGUUAGGUUUGCCUUAAUUCUUAUUUCAUAGUUGUGGAUGCUUGCGAGAGGGGUUAAUCAUAAGUGGGAGGCUUGUCCAAGGAAGGGCAGCACCCAAGCACCGGUCCACCCACAUACCAAAUUAUCAAAGUAACGAAUGUGAAUCAUAUGAGCAUGAUGAAAAGUAGCUUGACGACAAUUCCCAUGUGUCCUCGUGAGCGUUUUGCAUUAUAUAAGAGUUCAUCCAGGCUUGUCCUUUGCUAUAAAAAGGAUUAGGCCACCUUUCUACACCUUGUUUACUUUUAUUACUUGUUACCUGUUAUGAUUUAUCUUAUCACAAAACUAUUUGUUACCGAUAAUUUUAGUGCUUGCAAAGAAUACCUUGCUGAAAACCACUUAUCAUUUCCUUCUACUCCAUGUUCGGUUGUACACUCUUACUUAUCGGAAGGACUACUAUAGAUCCCCUAUACCUAUGGGUCAUCAAGACUCUUUUCUGGCGCUGUUACCGGGGAGUGAAGCGCCUUUGGUAAGUGGAAUUUGGUAAGGAAACAUUUAUAUAGUGUGCUGAAAUUUGCUGUCACUUGUUACUAUGGAGAAUAAUCCUUUGAGGGACUUGUUCGGGGUAUCUUCACCUUGAUCAGAAGAUCAAAGAGUUGCUCCUCAACCUACUGCACCUACUGAAAAUAUUUAUUAUGAAAUUCCUUUGCUUAUGAUAGAGAAACUGCUAGUUAAUCCUUAUGCAGGAGAUGGAACAUUACAUCCUGAUAUGUAUCUAAUCUAUGUGGAUGAAGUUUGUGGAUUAUUUAAGAUUGCAGGUAUGCCCAAGGAUGUUGUCAAGAAGAAGUUCUUCCCUUUAUCUUUGAAGGGAAAGGCAUUUACAUGGUAUAGGCUAUUGGGUGAUAUUGGAUCAUGUAACUACAACCGACUGAAACUGGAAUUUCAUCAGAAGUUUUAUCAUAUGCAUCUGGUUUCGUGAUCGGAACUAUAUAUAUAAUUGUUGGCUUUGUGAAGGAUAAACUAUUGCUCAAGCUUGGGGGAGGUUUAAGUCAAUGUUAUAUUCAUGCCCCAAUCAUGAGCUCUCAAGAGAAAUUAUUACUCAAAAAAUUUAUGCUCGACUUUCUCAUAAUGAUCGAUCCAUGCUCGAUACUUCUCGUAUUGGUUCCUAUAUGAAGAAGGAUAUUGAAUUCAAAUGGGAAUUAUUGGAAAGAAUUAAAUGCAACUCUGAAGAUUGGGAACUCGAUGAAGGUAAAGAGUCAGGUAUAAACCUUAAGUUUGAUUGUGUUAAAUCUUUUAUCAAUACCGAUGCUUUUCAUGAUUUUAGCGCCAAAUAUGGACUUGACACUGAGAUAGUAGCUUCUUUCUGUGAAUCUUUUGCUACUCAUGUUGAUCUCCCUAAGGAGAAGUGGUUUAAAUAUCAUCCUCCCAUUGGAGUUAAAGUAGUUGAACCCAUUAAAGUUGAAGAAAAAACUAUUACUUAUAAUGUUGAUCCUAUCGUUCCAACUGCUUAUAUUGAGAAACCACCAUUCCCUGUUAGAAUAAAGGAUCAUGCUAAAACUUCAACGGUGGUCAACAAAAGUAAUAUUAGAACACCCAAACCCUCUGAGCAAAUUAAAUUUGAACCUAGUAUUGCUAUGGUUAAAGAUCUCUUGGUCGAUAAGGUUGAUGGGCAUAUUAUUUAUUUUUGUGAUGAAGCUGCUAGGAUUGCUAAGCCUGAUACUAAAGAUAGACAUAGACCCGUUGCUGGCAUGCCUGUUGUUUAUGGUAAAAUAGGAGAUCAUUGUUAUCAUGGCUUAUGUGACGUGGGUGCUAGUGUGAGUGCAAUUCAUUAUACCUUAUAUAAAGAAAUUUUGAAUGACAUUGCACCAGCUGAGGAAGAUAUUGAUGUUACUAUUAAGGUUGCAAAUAGAGAUACUAUAUCACCAAUUGGGAUUGUUAGAGAUGUUGAAGUCUUGUGUGGGAAGAUAAAAUAUCCUACUGAUUUUCUUGUUCUUGCUUCCACAAAAGAUAAUUUUUGUCCCAUUAUAUUUGGUGGACCUUUCUUGAAUACCGUUAAUGCUAAGAUAGACUACGAGAAAGACAUUGUUACUAUUGGUUUAGGAGAUAUGUCUUAUGAUUUCAAUUACUCUAAAUUUUGUAGACAACCCCGUGAUAAAGAAUUGCCUAGUAAGGAUGAAAUUAUUGGUCUUGCUUCUAUUGUCGUCCCUCCUAAUGAUCCUUUAGAACAAUAUUUGCUAGACAAUGAAAAUGAUAUGUUUAUGAAUGAAAGAAGGGAAAUAGAUGAAGUAUUAUUUAAUCAGGAAACUAUUUUGAAACACAAUUUGCCUGUUGAAAUCCUUGGGGAUCCUCCUCCACCCGAGGGUGAUCCUGUGUUUGAGAUUAAACAAUUACCUGAUACUCCGAAAUAUGCUUAUCUUGAUGAAAAGAAGAUAUAUCAUGUUAUUAAGUGCUAACCUUUCAGAGCAUGCAGAACAGAAAUUAUUGAAAACCCUGAAGAAGCAUCGUGCCGCUAUUGGAUAUACUCUUGAUGAUCUUAAGGGAAUUAAUACCACUCUAUGUCAGCACAAAAUAAAAUUGGAGAAAGAUGCCAAGCCAGUUGUUGAUCAUCAACGAUGGUUAAAUCCUAAGAUGAAAGUAGUGGUAAGAAAUGAAAUACAAAAACUUCUGGAAGCAAGUAUAAUUUAUCCUAUUGCUGAUAGUCAAUGGGUAAGCCUUGUUCAUUGUGUCCCCAAGAAGGGAGGUAUUACUGUUGUUCCUAAUGAUAAGAAUGAAUUGAUUCCACAAAUAAUUGUUAGAGGUUAUAGAAUGGUAAUUGAUUUUUGAAAAUUGAAUAAAGCUACUAGAAAGGAUUAUUACCCUCUACCUUUCAUUGAUCAAAUGCUAGAAAGACUAUCCGAACAUACUCACUUUUGCUUUCUAGAUGGUUAUUCUGGUUACUCUCAAAUACCUGUGUCAAAAGAGGAUCAAGAGAAAACCACUUUUACUUGCCCUUUUGAUACCUUUGCUUAUAGACGUAUGUCGUUUGGUUUAUGCAAUGCACCUGCUACCUUUCAAAGAUGUAUGACUGCCAUAUUCUCUGACUUUUGUGAAAAGAUUGUUGAGGUUUUCAUGGAUGCUUUCUCCAUUUACAGAAAUUAUUUUGAUGAUUGCUUAAGCAACCUUGAUCAAGUUUUGCAGAGAUGUGAAGAAACUAAUCUUGUAUUGAAUUGGGAAAAGUGCCACUUUAUGGUUAGUGAAGGCAUUGUCCUGGGGCAUAAAAUUUCUCAGAGAGGUAUUGAAGUUGAUAAAGCUAAAGUAGAUUUAUCGAAAAGAUGUCGUGCCCUAAAGAUAUCAAAGGUAUAAGAAGUUUCCUUGGUCAUGUUGGCUUCUAUAGGAAGUUUAUUAAAGACUUCUCUAAAAUUUCUAGGCCUCUCACUAAUCUCUUGCAAAAAGAUGUUCCUUUUGUUUUUGAUGAUGAUUGUGUAGAAACCUCUGAAAUACUUAAGAAAGCCUUGAUUUCUGCACCUAUUGUUCAGCCACCUAAUUGGAAUUUACCCUUGGAUAUUAUGUGUGAUGCUAGUGAUUAUGUUGUUGGUUCUGUUCUAGGACAAAGGGUAGAUAAGAAAUUAAAUGUUAUUCAGUAUGCUAGUAAAACUCUAGAGAAUGCCCAGAGAAAUUAUGCUACUACUGAAAAAGAAUUUUUAGCAGUUGUAUUUGCAUGUGAUAAGUUCAGACCUUAUAUUGUUGAUUCCAAAGUAACUGUUCACACUAAUCUUGCUGCUAUUAAAUAUCUUAUAGAAAAUAAAGAUGCUAAACCUAGACUUAUUAGAUGGGUUCUCCUGCUGCAAGAAUUUGAUUUGCAUAUUAUUGAUAGAAAGGGAGCUGAGAACCCCGUUGCAGACAACUUGUGUAGGUUAGAAAAUGUUCUUGAUGACCCACUGCCUAUUAAUAGCUUUCCUGAUGAACAAUUAAACAUCAUAAAUGCUUCUCGUAAUAAUCCAUGGUAUGCUGAUUUUGCUAAUUAUAUUGUUGCUAAAUUUAUACCACCUAGUUUCACAUACCAGCAAAAAAAAGGUUUUCUAUGAUUCAAGACAUUAUUUUUGGGAUGACCCACACCUUUAUAAAGAAGGAGUAGAUGGUGUUAUUAGAUGUUGUGUACUUGAGUAUGGACAGGAACAGAUCCUACGCAAGUGUCACUCCAAGGCCUACGGAGGGCACCACGCUGGAGAUAGAACUGCACAUAAGGUAUUGCAAUCUGGGUUUUAUUGGCCCACUCUCUUUAAGGAUGCCCGUAAGUUUGUCUUAUCUUGCGAUGAGUGCCAGAGAAUUGGCAAUAUUAGAAGAUGUCAGGAAAUGCGUAUGAACUAUUCAGUUGUUAUUGAACCAUUUGAUGUCUGGGGCUUUGAUUAUACGAUGCCUAUGAACUAUUCAGUUGUUAUUGAACCAUUUGAUGUCUGGGGCUUUGAUUAUAUGGGACAUUUUCCUUCUUCUAAUAGGUAUACACAUAUUUUAGUUGUUGUUGAUUACGUUACUAAGUGGGUGGAAUCUAUUCCAACUAGUAGUGCCGAUCAUAACACUUCUAUUAAGAUGCUUAAAGAAGUUAUUUUCCCAAGGUUUGGAGUCCGUAGAUAUUUAAUGACUGAUGGUGGUUCACAUUUUAUUCAUGGUGUUUUCCGUAAAAUGCUGGCUAAGUAUGAUGUUAGCCAUAGAAUUGCAUAUCCAUAUCAUCCUCAGUCAAGUGGUCAAGUAGAGUUGAGCAAUAGAGAGAUUAAGUUAAUUUUGCAAAAGACUGUUAAUAGAUCUAGGAAGAAUUGGUCUAAGGUACUUGAUGAUGCAUUGUGGGCUUAUAGAACUGCUUAUAAGAACCCUAUCGGUAUGUCUCCAUAUAAAAUGGUUUACGAAAAAGCAUGCCAUUUACCUCUUGAACUAGAACAUAAGGCAUAUUGGGCUAUUAAAGAGCUCAAUUGUGAUUUCAAACUUGCUGGUGAGAAGAGGUUAUUUGACAUUAGCUCACUUGAUGAAUGGAGAACCCAAGCCUAUGAGAAUGCCAAGUUGUUUAAAGAAAAAGUUAAAAGAUGGCAUGACAGAAGGAUACAAAAGCGUGAGUUUAAUGUAGGUGAUCAUGUUUUGCUAUACAACUCUCGUCUAAGAUUUUUGCAGGAAAGCUUCUCUCUAAAUGGGAAGGUCCUUACAUCGUCACGGAGGUCUAUCAUUCCGGUGCCAUAAAAAUCAACAACACCGAAGGCACAAAUCCGAAGGUGGUAAACAGUCAAAGAAUCAAACAUUAUAUCUCAGGUACUUCCAUAAAUGUUGAGACCAAUAUAAUUGAUAUCGUAACCCUGGAGGAGUACAUAAGGGACACUUUCCAGAACAUUUCAGACUUCGAAAAGGAAGAGGUAUGUGGUACAGUAAGUUAACCGACUCCAAAACCUUUCCAAUGAUAUUUUUUCUCUAUUUUGGAAUAUUUUAAUAAUUAGGAAAAUUAAAAGUAGUCAGAAAGAGACACGAGGCGUCCACAAGGGUGGAGGGUGCGCCCCCUGUCCUUGUGGCCACCUCAUGUACUCUCUGGACUCCGUUUUCUUGCAUGAUACUUCAUAUGGUCGGUAAAAAUUCAUUAUAUAAUCUCCCAAAGGUUUUGACCACCGUACCACGAUAAUAUCUCUUGUUUUUGUUUCAAGCUGUUUUCUGCCAGAGUUUUCAAGGUCAGGCAUCAUGUCGUCCCCCUCCUACAACAACGCGGUCCACAAUGCUUGUCUAAUGAAGAUAGAGACGAAGAGAGAAGAACCUGGGGAGAUCAAUGAGGGUGAUAAGAUCAAGAAGGCCGCAGAGGAUCAAGUUCCGGCAGCAGAAGAAGACAUCCUUCAACCUUACUACAAUUAUGUUACUCCUACUGAAAUUGAAGCUUUCAAGAUCAUUGAAAUAGUUCGUGUGCAGAACAAGUAUCUCACUCGUGAAAAUAUUAUGUUGCAAGAGCAUAUCACCGCACUCAAGGGCAUUAUUCGUAAAAUGGAGCAUCUCCUACGCUCGAUGUUGGGCACUACUUCAGCGGCAACCCCAUCGUCACCACCCCCGAAGAAAGAGACAUAAAUACAUGGGUAUGGGCACUCCCCUUGGCAACUGCCAAGCUUGGGGGAGGUGCCCCGGUAUCGUAUCAUCAUCACAUCUUUAUCUUAAUCGUUUUUCUUAGUUCUAUCCUUUUGGUUAUAUCUUGAUCUAAUAGAAUAAAGUUUUUAGCAUGUUCUAGCUUUGAGUUUUGCUUUAUGUUCCCUCGAUGUAAUCGAGUCCGUGAGUUAUAUAUAAUAAAGAGUAGUUUUGAGUAAAGGGCUUUGCUUUCUUGCUAUGAUCUUGAGGGAACUAAAUAAAAGAAAGAAUAAAAAGAAAUAAAAAGGGAUCAUAUAUUGAUCUAAUGGAGAGUAAUGACUUUACAUAUAAAGAGUAUGAUGAAAUAUAAGUUGUUGAGAGUUGACAAACAUAGUUUUGGUCAUUGUUGCAAUUAAUAGGAAGUAAUAAGGAAAGAGAGGUUUUACAUAUAAAUAUACUAUCUUUGACAUCUUUUGUAAUUGUGAGCACUCAUUAAAAUAUGACAUGCUAUAAGUUGACGUUGGACAAGGAAGACAACAUAAUAGGUUAUGUUUUCUUAUAUCCGAAUAGAAGUUACAUUGUCCUGGAUCAUCCAACAUGUUGAGUUUGACUUUCCCUCUCAUGCUAGCCAAAUUCUUUGCACCAAGUAGAGAUACUACUUGUGCUUCCAAACUUCCAUAAACCCAGUUUUGCCAUGAGAGUCCACCAUACCUACCUAUGGAUUGAGUAAGAUCCUUCAAGUAAGUUGUCAUCGGUGCAAGCAAUAAAAAUUGCUCUCUAAAUAUGCAUGAUCUAUUAGUGUGAAGAAAAUAAGCUUUAUACGAACUUGUGAUAUGGAAGAAAUAAAAGAGACGGACUGCAUAAUAAAGGUCUUUAUCACAAGUGGCAAUAUAAAGUGACGUUCUUUUGCAUUAAGAUUUUGUGCAUCCAACCAUAAAAGCGCAUGACAACCUCUGCUUCCCUCUGAGAAGGGCCUAUCUUUUACCUUUAUGUUCCAUCCUUAUACAAGAGUCAUGGUGAUCAUCACCUUUCCUUUUUACACUUUUUCCUUUGGCAAGCUCUAUGUGUUGGACAGAUCUGGAUAUAUAUAUAUAUAUAUAUAUAUAUAUCCACUCGGAUGUAGGUUUUCAUAAAGUAUUAUUGUUGAGACUACCCUUGAGGUAAAAGGUUGGGAGGCGAAACUAUAAACCCCUAUCUUUCUAUGUUUCUGAUUGAAACUUUGAACCCAUAAGUAUCGCGUGAGUGUUAGCAAUUGUGAAAGAUUAUAUGAUAGUUGAAUAUGUGGACUUGCUGAAAAGCUCUUGAUUGACUCUUUCCGAUGUGAUGAUAAAUUACAAUUGCUCCAAUGACUAAGAUCAUAGUUUGUUAGUUUUCAAUAAAGUUUCUGAUUCGUACUUUACCUUGUGAAUGAAUUGUUACUUUAGCAUAAGAAAUUAUAUGUUGUUGUUCUCAAGAUGAUCAUGAUGCCCUCAUGUCCAUAUUUUAUUUUAUUGACACCUCUAUCUCUAAACAUGUGGACAUAUUUUUCGAUAUCGGCUUUCACUUGAGGACAAGCGAGGUCUAAGCUUGGGGGAGUUGAUACGUCCAUUUUGCACCAAGUUUUUAUAUUGAUAUUUACUGCAUUAUGGGCUGUUAUUACACAUUAUAUCACAAUACUUAUGCCUUUUCUCUCUUAUUUUAUAAGGUUUACAUGAAGAGGGAGAAUGUCGGCAGCUGGAAUUCUGGACUGGAAAAGGAGCAAAUAUUAGAGACCUAUUUUGCACAACUCCAAAAGUCCUGAAACUUCACGGAGCAUUUUUUGGAAUAUAUAAAAAAUAUUGGGCGAAGAAAGAACCAGAGGGGGGCCACCAGCCAGCCACAAGGGUGGAGGGCACGCCCUACACCCCUGAGCGCCCCCCGACCUUGUGGGGCCCCUGGCAGGCCUCCGAUGCCCAUCUUUGGCUAUAUGGUGUGUUUUGACCUGGAAAAAAUCAAAAGAAAGCUUUCGGGACGAAGCAUCGCCGUCUCGAGGCGAAACCUGGGUAGAACCAAUCUAGGGCUCCGGCGGAGUUGUUCUGCUGGGGAAACAUCCCUCCGGGGGGGAAUCAUCGCCAUCGUCAUCACCAUCGAUCCUCUCAUCGAGAGGGGGUCAAUCUCCAUCAACAUCUUCACCAGCACCAUCUCCUCUCAAACCCUAGUUCAUCACUUGUAUUUGAUCUUGGUCCUAAAACCUCAGAUUGGUACCUCUGGGUUGCUAGUAAUGUUGAUUACUCCUUGUAGUUGAUGCUAGUUGGUUUAUUGGGUGGAAGAUUAUAUUUUCAGAUCCUUAAUGAUAAUUAAUACUCCUCUGAUCUUGAUUAUGAAUAUGCUUUGUGAGUAUUUACGUUUGUUCCUGAAGACAUGGGAGAAGUCUUGUUAUAAGUAAUCAUGUGAAUUUGGUAUUCGUUCGAUAUUUUGAUGAGAUGUAUGUUGUCUAUCCUCUAGUGGUGUUAUGUGGACGUCGACUACCUGACACUUCACCAUUAUUUGGGCCUAGGGGAAGGCAUUGGGAAGUAAUAAGUAGAUGAUGGGUUGCUAGAGUGACACAAGCUUAAACCCUAGUUUAUGCUUUGCUUCGUAAGGGGCUGAUUUGGAUCCAUAUGUUUCAUGCUAUGGUUAGGUUUACCUUUAUUCUGUUGGGGAACGUAGUAAUUUCAAAAACAUUCCUACGCACACGCAAGAUCAUGGUGAUGGCAUAGCAACGAGAGGGGAGAGUGUUGUCCACGUACCCUCGUAGACCGUAAGCGGAAGCGUUAGCACAACGCGGUUGAUGUAGUCGUACGUCUUCACGAUCCGGCCGAUCCAAGCACCGAACGUACGGCACCUCCGAGUUCAGCACACGUGCAGCUCGAUGACGAUCCCCGGGAUCCGAUCCAGCAAAGCUUCGGGGAUGAGUUCCGUCAGCACGACGGCGUGGUGACGAUGAUGAUGUUCUACCGGCGCAGGGCUUCGCCUAAACUCCGCGACGAUAUAACCGAGGUGGAAUAUGGUGGAGGGGGGCACCACACACGGCUAAGGAACGAUCCGUAGAUCAACUUGUGUGUCUAUGGGGUGCCCCCUACCCCCGUAUAUAAAGGAGGGAGGGGGAGGCCGGCCGGCCCUUGUUGGGCGCGCCAGGAGGAGGAGUCCUCCUAGUAGGAGUAGGACUCCUCCUUUCCUACUCCUACUAGGAGGGGAAGGAAGGGAGAGAGGAGGGGAAGGAAAGAGGGGGGCGCCCCCCCCCCUCCUAGUCCAAUUCGGACCAGAGGGAGAGGGGGCGCGCGGCCCUUCCUGGCCACCCCUCUCUCUUCCCACCAAGGCCCAUGUGGCCCAUUAACUCUCCGGGAGGGGUUCCGGUAACCCUCCGGCACUCCGGUUUUCUCCGAAAUCACCCGGAACACUUCCGGUGUCCGAAUAUAGUCGUCCAAUAUAUCAAUCUUUAUGUCUCGACCAUUUCGAGACUCCUCGUCAUGUCCGUGAUCACAUCCGAGACUCCAAACAAACUUCGGUACAUCAAAACUUGUAAACUCAUAAUAAAACUGUCAUCGUAACGUUAAGCGUGCGGACCCUACGGGUUCGAGAACUAUGUAGACAUGACCUAGAACUAUUCUCGGUCAAUAACCAAUAGCGGAACCUGGAUGCCCAUAUUGGUUCCUACAUAUUCUACUAAGAUCUUUAUCGGUCAAACCGCAUAACAACAUACGUUGUUCCCUUUGUCAUCGGUAUGUUACUUGCCCGAGAUUUGAUCGUCGGUAUCCAAUACCUAGUUCAAUCUCGUUACCGGCAAGUCUCUUUACUCAUUCUGUAACAUACUAUCUUAUAACUAACUCAUUAGUUACAAUGCUUGCAAGGCUUAGGUGAUGAGUAUUACCGAGAGGGCCCAGAGAUACCUCUCCGACAAUCAGAGUGACAAAACCUAAUCUCGAAUUAUGCCAACCCAACAUGUACCUUCAGAAACACCUGUAGAGCACCUUUAUAAUCACCCAGUUACGUUGUGACGUUUGGUAGCACACAAAGUGUUCUUUCGGUAAACGGGAGUUGCACAAUCUCAUAGUUGCAGGAACUUUGUAUAAGUCAUGAAGAAAGCAAUAGCAACAUACUAAACGAUCAAGUGCUAGGCUAACGGAAUGGGUCAUGUCAAUCACAUCAUUCUCCUAAUGAUGUGAUCCCAUUAAUCAAAUGACAACACAUGUCUAUAGUUAGGAAACAUAACCAUCUUUGAUUAAUGAGCUAGUCAAGUAGAGGCAUACUAGUGACUUUAUGUUUUUCUAUGUAUUCACACGUGUAUCAUGUUUCCGGUUAAUACAAUUAUAGCAUGAAUAAUAAACAUUUAUCAUGAUAUGAGGAAAUAAAUAAUAACUUUAUUAUUGCCUCUAGGGCAUAUUUCCUUCAGUCUCCCACUUGCACUAGAGUCAAUAAUCUAGAUUACAUAGUAAUGAUUCUAACACCCAUGGAGUCUUGGUGCUGAUCAUGUUUUGCCCGUGAGAGAGGCUUAGUCAACGGGUCUGCAACAUUCAGAUCCGUAUGUAUCUUGCAAAUCUCUAUGUCUCCCACUUGGACUUGGUCCCGAAUGGAAUUGAAGCAUCUCUUGAUGUGCUUGGUCCUCUUGUGAAAUCUGGAUUCCUUUGCCAAGGCAAUUGCACCAGUAUUGUCACAGAAGAUCUUCAUUGGUCCCGAUGCACUAGGUAUGACACCUAGAUCGGAAAUGAACUCCUUCAUCCAGACUCCUUCAUUUGCUGCUUCCGAAGCAGCUAUGUACUCCGCUUCACAUGUAGAUCCCGCUACGACGCUUUGUUUAGAACUGCACCAACUUAUAGCUCCACCGUUUAAUAAAAACACAUAUCCGGUUUGCGAUUUAGAAUCGUCCAGAUCAGUGUCAAAGCUUGCAUUGACGUAACCGUUUACGACUAGCUCUUUGUCACCUCCAUAUACGAGAAACACAUCCUUAGUCCUUUUCAGGUAUUUCAGGAUGUUCUUGACCGCUGUCCAGUGAUCCACUCCUGGAUUACUUUGGUACCUUCCUGCCAAGCUUAUUGCUAAGCAUACGUCAGGUCUGGUACACAGCAUUGCAUACAUGAUAGAGCCUAUGGCUGAAGCAUAGGGAACAUAUUUCAUUUUCUCUCUAUCUUCUGUUGUGGUCGGGCAUUGAGUUUGACUCAACUUCACACCUUGUAGCACAGGCAAGAAUCCUUUCUUUGCCUGAUCCAUUUUGAACUUUUUCAAAAUUUUGUCAAGGUAUGUGCUUUGUGAAAGUCCUAUUAAGCGUCUUGAUCUAUCUCUAUAGAUCUUGAUGCCCAAUAUGUAAGCAGCUUCACCGAGGUCUUUCAUUGAAAAACUUUUGUUCAAGUAUCCUUUUAUGCUAUCCAGAAAUUCUAUAUCAUUUCCAAUUAAUAAUAUGUCAUCUACAUAUAAAAUUAGAAAUGCUACAGAGCUCCCACUCACUUUCUUGUAAAUACAGGCUUCUCCAAAAGUCUAUAUAAAACCAUAUGCUUUGAUCACACUAUCAAAGCGUUUAUUCCAACUCCGAGAUGCUUGCACCAGUCCAUAAAUGGAAUGCUGGAGCUUGCACACUUUGUCAGCACCUUUUGGAUCAACAAAACCUUCCGGCUGCAUCAUAUACAACUCUUCUUCUAGAAAUCCAUUCAAGAAUGCAGUCUUGACAUCCAUUUACCAAAUUUCAUAAUCAUGAAAUGCAGCAAUAGCUAACAUGAUUCGGACGGACUUAAGCAUCGCUACGGGUGAGAAAGUCUCAUCGUAGUCAACCCCUUGAACUUGUCGAAAACCUUUUGCAACAAGUCGAGCUUUAUAGACAGUUAUAUUACCAUCAGCGUCAGUCUUCUUCUUAAAGAUCCAUUUAUUCUCAAUGGCUUGCCGAUCAUCGGGCAAGUCAACCAAAGUCCAUACUUUGUUUUCAUAAAUGGAUCCCAUCUCAGAUUUCAUGGCUUCUAGCCAUUUUGCGGAAUCCGGGCUCAUCAUCGCUUCCUCAUAGUUCGUAGGUUCAUCAUGGUCAAGUAACAUGACUUCCAGAAUAGGAUUACCAUACCACUCUGGUGCGGAUCUUACUCUGGUAGACCUACGAGGUUCAGUAGAAACUUGAUCUGAAGUUUCAUGAUCAUUAUCAUUAGCUUCCUCACUAAUUGGUGUAGUUGUCACAGGAACUGGUUCUCGUGAUGAACUACUUUCCAAUAGGGAGUAGAUACAGUUAUCUCAUCAAGUUAUACUUUCCUCCCACUCACUUCUUUCGAGAGAAACUCCUUCUCUAGAAAGGAUCCAUUCUUAGCAAUGAAUGUCUUACCUUCGGAUCUGUGAUAGAAGGUGUACCCAAUAGUCUCUUUUGGGUAUCCUAUGAAGACACAUUUCUCCGAUUUAGGUUCGAGCUUAUCUGGUUGAAGUUUCUUCACAUAAGCAUCGCAGCCCCAAACUUUAAGAGACGACAACUUUGGUUUCUCGCCAAACCACAGUUCAUAAGGCGUCGUUUCAACGGAUUUUGAUGGUGCCCUAUUUAAUGUGAAUGCGGCCGUUUCUAAAGCAUAACCCCAAAACGAUAGCGGUAAAUCAGUAAGAGACAUCAUAGAUCGCACCAUAUCAAGUAAAGUACGAUUACAACGUUCGGACACACCAUUUCGUUGUGGUGUUCCAGGUGGCGUGAGUUGCGAAACUAUUCCACAUUGUUUCAAGUGUAGGCCAAACUCAUAACUCAAAUACUCUCCUCCACGAUCAGAUCGUAGAAACUUUAUUUUCUUGUUACGAUGAUUUUCUACUUCAUUUUGAAAUUCUUUGAACCUUUCAAAUGUUUCAGACUUGUGUUUCAUCAAGUAGAUAUACCCAUAUCUGCUCAAAUCAUCUGUGAAGGUGAGAAAAUAACGAUACCCGCCGUGAGCCUCAACAUUCAUUGGGCCACAAACAUCAGUAUGUAUGAUUUCCAACAAAUCAGUUGCUCGCUCCAUAGUUCCGGAGAACGGCGUUUUAGUCAUCUUGCCCAUAAGGCACGGUUCACAAGUACCAAGUGAUUCAUAAUCAAGUGAUUCCAAAAGUCCAUCGGUAUGGAGUUUCUUCAUGUGCUUUACACCGAUAUGACCCAAACGGCAGUGCCACAAAUAAGUUGCACUAUCAUUAUUAACUCUGCAUCUUUUGGUUUCAACACUAUGAAUAUGUGUAUCACUACUAUCGAGAUUUAAUAAAAAUAGACCACUCUUCAAGGGUGCAUGACCAUAAAAGAUAUUACUCAUAUAAAUAGAACAACCAUUAUUCUCUGAUUUAAAUGAAUAACCGUCUCGCAUCAAACAAGAUCCAGAUAUAAUGUUCAUGCUCAACGCUGGCACCAAAUAACAAUUAUUCAGGUUUAAAACUAAUCCCGAAGGUAGAUGUAGAGGUAGCGUGCCGACCGCGAUCACAUCGACUUUGGAACCGUUUCCCACGCGCAUCGUCACCUCGUCCUUGGCCAGUGCUCGCUUAUUCCGUAGUCCCUGUUUCGAGUUGCAAAUAUUAGCAACAGAACCAGUAUCAAAUACCCAGGUGCUACUACGAGCACUAGUUAGGUACACAUCAAUAACAUGUAUAUCACAUAUACCUUUGUUCACUUUGCCAUCCUUCUUAUCUGCCAAAUACUUGGGGCAGUUCCGCUUCCAGUGACCAGUCUGCUUGCAGUAGAAACACUAAGUUUCAGGCUUAGGUCCAGACUUGGGUUUCUUCUCUUGAGCAGCAACUUGCUUGCUGUUCUUCUUGAAGUUCCCCUUCUUCUUCCCUUUGCCCUUUUUCUUGAAACUAGUGGUCUUGUUGACCAUCAACACUUGAUGCUCCUUCUUGAUUUCUACCUCCGCUGCUUUUAGCAUUGCGAAGAGCUCGGGAAUAGUCUUGUUCAUCCCUUGCAUAUUAUAGUUCAUCACAAAGCUCUUGUAGCUUGGUGGCAGUGAUUGGAGAAUUCUGUCAAUGACGCUAUCAUCCGGAAGAUUAACUCCCAGUUGAAUCAAGUGAUUAUUAUACCCAGACAUUUUGAGUAUAUGUUCACUGACAGAACCAUUCUCCUCCAUCUUGCAGCUGUAGAACUUAUUGGAGACUUCAUAUCUCUCAAUCCGGGCAUUUGCUUGAAAUAUUAACUUCAACUCCUGGAACAUCUCAUAUGCUCCAUGACGUUCAAAACGUCGUUGAAGACCCGGUUCUAAGCCAUAAAGCAUGGCACACUGAACUAUAGAGUAGUCAUCAGCUUUGCUCUGCCAGACGUUCUUAACAUCGUCAGUUGCAUCAGCAGCAGGCCUGGCACCCAGCGGUGCUUCUAGGACGUAACUUUUCUGUGCAGCAAUGAGGAUAAUCCUCAGGUUACGGACCCAGUCCGUGUAAUUGCUACCAUCAUCUUUCAACUUUGCUUUCUCAAGGAACGCAUUAAAAUUCAACGGAACAACAGCACGAGCCAUCUAUCUACAAACAAACAUAGACAAGCAAAAUACUAUCAGGUACUAAGUUCAUGAUAAAUUUAAGUUCAAUUAAUCAUAUUACUUAAGAACUCCCACUUAGACAGACAUCUCUCUAGUCAUCUAAGUGAUCGCGUGAUCCAAAUCAACUAAACCAUAACCGAUCAUCACGUGAGAUGGAGUAGUUUUCAAUGGUGAACAUCACUAUGUUGAUCAUAUCUACUAUAUGAUUCACGCUCGACCUUUCGGUCUCCGUGUUCCGAGGCCAUAUCUACAUAUGCUAGGCUCGUCAAGUUUAACCUGAGUAUUCUGCGUGUGCAAAACUGGCUUGCACCCGUUGUAGAUGGACGUAGAGCUUAUCACACCCGAUCAUCACGUGGUGUCUGGGCACGACGAACUUUGGCAACAGUGCAUACUCAGGGAGAACACUUCUUGAUAAUUUUUAGUGAGAGAUCAUCUUAAAAUGCUACCAUCAAUCAAAGCAAGAGAAGAUGCAUAAAGGAUAAACAUCACAUGCAAUCAAUAUAAGUGAUAUGAUAUGGCCAUCAUCAUCUUGUGCUUGUGAUCUCCAUCUUCGAAGCACCGUCGUGAUCACCAUCGUCACCGGCGUGACACCUUGAUCUCCAUCGUAGCAUCAUUGUCGUUACACCAUCUAUUGCUUCUACGACUAUCACUACCGCUUAGAGAUAAAGUAAAGCAAUUACAGGGUGUUUGCACUUCAUACAAUAAAGCGACAACCAUAUGGCUCCUGCCAGUUGCCGAUAACUUCGGUUACAAAACAUGAUCAUCUCAUACAAUAAAAUAUAGCAUCACGUCUUGACCAUAUCACAUCACAACAUGCCCUGCAAAAAACAAGUAGACGUCCUCUACUUUGUUGUUGCAAAUUUUACGUGGCUGCUACGGGCUAUAGCAAGAACCGUUCUUUCCUACGCAUAAAAACCACAACAAUAGUUCAUCAAGUUGGUGCUGUUUUAACCUUCGCAAGGACCGGGCGUAGCCACACUCGAUUCAGCUAAAGUGAGAGAGACAGACACUCGCCAGCCACCUUUAAGCACGAGUGCUCGUAACGGUGAAACCAGUCUCGCGUAAGCGUACGCAUAAUGUCGGUCCGGGCCGCUUCAUCUCACAAUACCGCCGAACCAAAGUAUGACAUGCUGGUAAGCAGUAUGACUUGUAUCGCCCACAACUCACUAGUGUUCUACUCAUGCAUAUAACAUCAACGAAUAAAACCAGGCUCAGAUGCCACUGUUGGGGAACGUAGUAAUUUCAAAAACAUUCCUACGCACACGCAAAAUCAUGGUGAUGGCAUAGCAACGAGAGGGGAGAGUGUUGUCCACGUACCCUCGUAGACCGUAAGCGGAAGCGUUAGCACAACGCGGUUGAUGUAGUCGUACGUCUUCACGAUUCGACCGAUCCAAGCACCGAACGUAUGGCACCUCCGAGUUCAGCACACGUUCAGCUCGAUGACGAUCCCCGGGCUCCGAUCCAGCAAAGCUUCGGGGAUGAGUUCCGUCAGCACGACGGCGUGGUGACGAUGAUGAUGUUCUACCGGCGCAGGGCUUCGCCUAAACUCCGCGACGAUAUGACCGAGGUGGAAUAUGGUGGACGGGGGCACCGCACAUGGCUAAGGAACGAUCCGUAGAUCAACUUGUGUGUCUAUGGGGUGGCCCCUGCCCCCGUAUAUAAAGGAGGGAGGGGGAGGCCGGCCGGCCCUUGUUGGGCGCGCCAGGAGGAGGAGUCCUCCUCCUAGUAGGAGUAGGACUCCCCCUUUCCUACUCCUACUAGGAGGGGAAGGAAGGGAGAGAGGAGGGGAAGGAAAGAGGGGGGCGCCGCCCCCCUCCUAGUCCAAUUUGGACCAGAGGGAGAGGGGGCGUGCGGCCCUUCCUGGCCGCCCCUCUCUCUUCCCACCAAGGCCCAUGUGGCCCAUUAACUCUCCGGGAGGGGUUCCGGUAACCCUCCGGCACUCCGGUUUUCUCCGAAAUCACCCAGAACACUUCCUGUGUCCGAAUAUAGUCGUCCAAUAUAUCAAUCUUUAUGUCUCGACCAUUUCGAGACUCCUCGUCAUGUCCGUGAUCACAUACGAGACUCCGAACAAACUUAGGUACAUCAAAACUUGUAAACUCAUAAUAAAACUGUCAUCGUAACGUUAAGCGUGCGGACCCUACGGGUUCGAGAACUAUGUAGACAUGACCUAGAACUAUUCUCGGUCAAUAACCAAUAGCGGAACCUGGAUGCCCAUAUUGGUUCCUACAUAUUCUACGAAGAUCUUUAUCGGUCAAACCGCAUAACAACAUACGUUGUUCCCUUUGUCAUCGGUAUGUUACUUGCCCGAGAUUUGAUCGUCGGUAUCCAAUACCUAUUUCAAUCUCGUUACCGGCAAGUAUCUUUACUCGUUAUGUAACACAUCAUCUUAUAACUAACUCAUUAGUUACAAUGCUUGCAAGGCUUAGGUGAUGAGUAUUACCGAGAGGGCCCAGAGAUACCUCUCCGACAAUCGGAGUGACAAAACGUAAUCUCGAAUUAUGCCAACCCAACAUGUACCUUCAAAAACACCUGUAGAGCACCUUUAUAAUCACCCAAUUAUGUUGUGACGUUUGGUAGCACACAAAGUGUUCUUCCGGUAAACGGGAGUUGCACAAUCUCAUAGUUGCAGGAACUUUGUAUAAGUCAUUAAGAAAGCAAUAGCAACAUACUAAACGAUCAAGUGCUAGGCUAACGGAAUGGGUCAUGUCAAUCACAUCAUUCUCCUAAUGAUGUGAUCCCAUUAAUCAAAUGACAACACAUGUCUAUAGUUAGGAAACAUAACCAUCUUUGAUUAAUGAGCUAGUCAAGUAGAGGCAUACUAGUGACUUUAUGUUUGUCUAUGUAUUCACACAUGUAUCAUGUUUCCGGUUAAUACAAUUCUAGCAUGAAUAAUAAACAUUUAUCAUGAUAUGAGGAAAUAAAUAAUAACUUUAUUAUUGCCUCUAGGGCAUAUUUCCUUCAUAUUCUUCUUUCGUAGUUGCGGAUGCUUGCGAGAGGGGUUUAUCAUAAGUGGGAGGCUUGUCUAAGGAAGGGCAGCACCCAAGCACCGGUCCACCCACAUAUCAAAUUAUCAAUGUAACAAAUGUGAAUCAUAUGAGCAUGAUGAAAACUAGCUUGACGACAAUUCCCAUGUGUCCUCGGGCGCGCUUUGCAUUAUAUAAGAGUUCAUCCAGGCUUACCUUUGCUAUAAAAAGGAUUGGGCCACCUUACUGCACCUUGUUUACUUUUAUUACUUGUUACCCAUUACAAUUUAUCUUAUCACAAAACUAUUUGUUACCGAUAAUUUUAGUGCUUGCACAGAAUACCUUGGUCAAAAUACUUGUCAUUUACUUCUACUCCUCAUUGGGUUCGACACUCUUACUUAUCGAAAGGACUACGAUAGAUCCCCUAUACUUGUGGGUCAUCAUGCCAUCAUAAGAAAGCAUUGUUGAACAUCCAGACGGUCUUCUCUCAAUUUUUUGGCAAAUGGAUGUGAAAUCCUCUUUUUUGAGUCUGCUAGCACUUAGAGUAAGCCCCAAGUAUGUAAAUGGGAAGGACCCUCUCUUAUAUCCCAAAGAAUUAAGGAUCUGAAUGAAACUCUCUCCCUAUACAUUGAUAGGAAUCGUAAUUGACUUGUGAUGGUUAAUAUUUAGCCCAGUUUGAUUAGCAAAAUGUUUCAACAGAUUGUUCACUUGCUCCACUUGUAUUAUGCUUGCUGGCAGGAUUAGGAUUGUGUCAUAUGCAUAUUGAUUGACAGGGAAAUCAGGUUUUGAGCUUGAUUCAAUUGAAGCUUGUAUGAUUCCUGUCUUCAUUGCCUUAUUCAGAAUUGUCUGCAAGAAAUCAGCAGCAAGAACAAAGAUGAGAGGGAUAGAGGAUCUACUUGUCUCACCCCUCUUUUGCAAUGUAACUGUUUGCAUGUCACUCCAUUCAAGAGCACAAAAGAAACCCCUAAAGAAAAAAAUCAUUUUGAUCUACUGUCACAUCCCUAGUUCUAUUAAUGCCUAGUGCUAGCAUCUGGUGUUGCAUCAUGUUUAAAUUUCAGUUAAACCUGAAAUGGGGAUUGCCUAAACCCUAGCUUCUAAGGAAUCCACUAGGUUCAACUAAAAUAUUCUCAGUGAAUCCAAAUGACUUCCAAAAAUGUUCAUCAUUUCUGGAAAAUACUAGAAACAUUAACCAGAGGUGGUGCACCUUUUCCCAUGUCAUAUUUGGGCUCUGGAUUAAAUCAUAUGCUAUUUGCAAUUGGGCAUUUAAAUGUUAUAUAAUAAUUUAAAUGCUCAAUUAAUUCUGAACUUAAGUGAGGGCUGUUGGGAAUAUUCCAAAUAAAUCCCACAAUUAUUUUCAGGAUUUUUGAAAACGUUUUGGUAUUUUAAAUAAAGCUCAGAAGUUACAGAAAAAUAGAAAACAGAAAACAAUUUAGAAGAGAGAGAGAGAGAACGCCUACCUGGGCCACUUACCUGGCCGGUCCACCUGGCAGGCCCAGCACUGUGCUGGACCAUGCCAGCCAGCUGCUUCGUCCUUGCCAGGCAGGCACAGAGGUGACGCCGGCGAGCACGAGCUCGCCACGACGCCACCUGCUUGCCGCCCGUGCCCCUGGACACCUGGGUGAUCUCCACGUCGUGCCCCGAACCCCCUGGACACCUCACUCGCUCUCCUGCCUCUCUCCCUCGCUCUCCCGCACCAUGGCCGACGCCACCGCAGCCGCACCGUCGUCGUAGUCGCGCUCUCCGUCGUCCCUGCGUCGUGCCACCAUGUCCAGAAGCUCGGCCGCCCUCCUCUCCUUCGAGCAAGCCGAGCCCCGAGUGCUCGCUUGCCCCGAAGCCUCUGCACCGACCUCGCCCGUCUCCGUCACCGCCGAAGACCCCCUUUGUCGUCACCGCCGCAACAGUUCAUCCCCGACCUUGCCGUCAGCUUCGUUGCAACCGCUGUGAGCCUAGCUAUCUCCCCAUCCUCCCCGUUCCCUCUCUCGAGCCCCGUAGCGACUGCACGUAGCUCACCCGCACGCGCCGCCGCGGAGCUCGUCGCCGACGAGGCUCCGGCCACCCAACGGUUGCGCCACCUUGCCCACUAGCCCUAACGCACCCCCAGGAGCUCAACGCCCUAACCCACGCGCCUCGCCGUGCCCCUUAGCGACGAGUCCGAGCUCACCCGAGCUCCGAUCGCCGCCAAACUCAUCGCCGGCGACGUUUUCGGCAACCCCGAGCCCAACCACCGCCACCAAACACUGCGGCUUGCUCCCAGCUACGCGUAGACACUCCCCGCUGCCCAUUUGGCCGCCGAAACACGAAAUUGCACUCCCACCGCCGCGUCUGGCCUCGCCGGCGGCUAAACGCCGGCGGGUUUGACCCGUUGACCUUUACCGGGCGGGCCCAGCUUGACUCCCCUGAGUCUAUGACAAGUGCCCCCCCCCCCUCUGCUAAUUAACUCAGUUUAGAACUAACUAAGUUUAGUUAGUUUAACUAACUGUUAACACGCGGGACCCACUGGUCAGGUUGACCUGGACGUCUCGUUGACUCGCUUACGUCAUGCUGACAUCAGGCUGACGCGGUAAUGCUUUUCUGGAUUUUAAAUAAAUCUAUUUGAUUUAUUUAAUUCCAGAAAAUGUCCAAGACUUCUAAAAAUCAUAUAAAAUCAACCGUAGCUCCAAAUGAAAUAAAUUAUAUAUGAAAAAUGAUCAGAAAAAUCCAAUCUAUCCAUCUGUACCAUUUUCAUGCAUGUUGGAACAACUUAAAGUUGCUGUUUAGGACAAUUCAAUUAGUUGGCAUUUAAGAAAGCACAUAUGGAGUUUGAAUUUGAACCUAGUGUUCAAACCCACUCCAUUUAACUUGUUGCUAGUUGCAUUAGGCCAAUCAACAGCAUAUUGCCAUGUCAUGUUCAUGCAUCAUAUUGUGCAUUGCAUUGAUUGUGUUUCCUUCUGUGUUACCGGUAUUUGUUCCCUUUCGAUAGAUGUGAUACCGACGAUGAGAUCGAUGACACCGAUGAAGAGCUAUACUAUCUUCAGAAGUGCCAGGCAAGCAAAACCCCCUUGUUCAUUCCGAUACAAUCCUACUCUCUCGCUCCUGCUCGACUUUACUGCAUUAGGACAACAACGAUUCAUUUGUUACUUGAUGCGGUAGCUGAACCCCUUUAUCCUCUGCAUGACCUGUCAUUGCCACAGUAAAUAGAUGAAACCCACUAGCAUGAGUAGGAGUUGUUUGAGCCCUGUUGUGCCUGCUCAUUCAUGUUUGUUUGUCAUGCCUGCUACUGCUUAGAGUUGAGUCAGGUCUGAUUCAUCGGGGAUGAAUCAGAGGUGUGUGAACAUGUCCUACUAUGUAUGAGCUAAGUGUGUGAACACGAUUUGGUAAAGGUAUUGAUGAGAGGCCAUGUAGGAGUACAUGGUGGGUUGUCUCAUUGAAGCCGUCCUUAGGAACUGAGUUCUGUGUUUGUGAUCCAUGAAACAACUACUACCAUGCAUUGGGCCCUGAAAUAUGACCCCGCUCGACUUCUUAAUCACCCUUUUCCUCUGUCCAGGAGUUGCAAGUAGUUUCUGGUGUUUGUAGUAUGCUGGAGGUCGUGGGCAGCGCUGACCCGAGGGGUGGGCUGUGAUGCGGUAGGCACGUGGGCGGGUAUACCGGGCGCCCGUUUGGUGUCACGGAACCCUGUACACAUCGUUCGGGGCCGUAUGUGGAAACCUCGGCCGGACUCCCUGCGGAUGGAACCUGAAUAGGCGAUAAACCUGGACUAGAGACUUGAGUGUUUAGGUAGGUUGUGGUCUACACCCACGUUGGCUUUCGCUUGAAGUCUUCCGAGCACAUGUCGUGUGCAAACGCUAAGUGGUGGAAACAUGUAUGAAGAAGUACACCCCUGCAGGGUUAACAUCAUCUAUUCAAAUAGCCGUGUCCGCGGUAAAGGACUUCUGGGUUGCCUAUAACAGUUCAUAGACAAGUGAAAGUGGAUACUUUAAAAUGCGCAAGAUAAGCGUGAGUGCUAUGGAUGGCGUUCUCGUAGGGGGACGGGAGCGGAUCCAUAGUGGUGUAUUGGUUGGUGAAUAUGUGGACUCGUGUGCGCCACCUCAAAGAGUUGCUUGCAGUCGUAGUUCAGGACAGCCACCGAGUCAAAGCUAGCUUGCUGCAGUUAAACCCCACCAUCCCUUUGUUGAUAAUGAUGCAUAUGUAGAUAGUUCUGAUGUAAGUCUUGUUGGGUACAUUUGUACUCACGUUUGCCUAUUUUAUGUUUUUGCAGAGAGACUUCAGUCUCACUAGUAGUUCCACGUGGACUUCGACGUUUAGCUUGUUACCUCAGCUACGAUCUUGUGCCCUCGGUAGGAUCUGGUAGUUAGUCAGGCUUCUCAGCCUUUUCCAUUUGUAGAUGUCUGUACUCAGACAUGUUAAGCUUCUGCUUGUGCUUUGACUUGAAUGCUCUGAGUGUUGGGUCAUGAGACCCAUGUUUGUAAUAUCUCGCUCCUCGGAGCCUAUUGAAUAAAAUACUUGAGUUGUAGAGCCAUGUUGUGAUGCCAUGUUGUAUUUGCACAUAUCGAGCAUAUUGUGUGUAUGUUAUUGAAAUGCUUGGUAUGUGUGGGAUCUGACUAUCUAGUUGUUUAUCCUUAGUGGCCUCUCUUACCGGGAGAUGUCUCCUAGUGCUUCCACUGAGCCUUGGUAGCUUGCUACUGCUCCGGAACACUUAGGCUGGUCGGCAUGUGUCCUUCUUCGUUCAUGUGUCUGUCCCUUCGGGGAAAUGUCACGCGAUGAAUACCGGAGUCAUGUUAGCCGCUACAGCUCGGUUCACCGGAGUCCUGCUAGCCCAGUGCUACAGCCUGGAUUCACUCGCUGAUGACCGACAUGUUCGAUGCUGGGUCAUGGAUGCCUGUCCCUAUAAGUUUGUUCCACUUUGGGUUCACGACUGGCCAUGUCAGCCCGGGUUCUUUGUCAUAUGGAUGCUAGCGGCACUAUCAUAUACGUGAGCCAAAAGGCGCAAACGGUCCCGGGCCAGGUAAGGUGGCACCCGUGGGAAUACCGUGCGUGAGGCCGCAAAGUGAUAUGAUGUGUUACAUGCUAGAUCGGUGUGACUUAGGAUCGGGGUCCUGACAUCUACAUAAUCCAUCUAUCUCCAAAACCUCUUGCCUUAAGGAUUUCCAAAAUUGUGGUAUCUUCAAUCAUGCCAAAUGCCUUUUCAAAGUCUAGCUUUAAUAACACCAUGGCCUUUUUGGAUUGCUGGCAUUGAUGAAUAUAUCCAAAGGCCCAUGCCAGGUAGUCUUGGAUGUAUCUAUUCUUUAGAAAUCCAUAUUGGUUAGUGUGGACUAACUUGAGCAUCAUUUGCUAACAACUUUCUGAUAAUUUUUAUUGUGCAGUUUAGCAAUGAAAUGGGCCUUAAAUCUGCAGGUUGUUGAGGGUUAUCUAUCUUUGGCACCAAAGUGAUAAAUGAUCCAUUGAUAGAUUGGAGAUUAAUAGAGCCUUGAUAGAAAUCUCCGGUGAGAGUAUAUAAGUCAUAUGCAAUGAUGCUCCAUCAGGCUUUAAUGAAGUUCCCAUUAAAGCCGUCAUGGCCAGGGGCUUUGUCUGAAGGAAGCUCUUUAAUAACACUGUCAAUCUCCUCUUUUGAGAAAGGAAUUUCCAAUUUAGACAAAGAAACGUCAGCUGGUAACAAAUCUGGGAGAGGGAAAAAUUCUCAAUUGUUCCCAUUCUACCUUUAAAAGCUCUCCAUAGGAUGGCAGCUUUAGCCUGAUGGUCUGUGUGCUCAUUUAGGUUUUCAUCUUGUAACUUUGUAAGAACUGAAUUUGAUUGUGUCUGUACUUAAUUGUUGACUUAUCUUGAAAUAAAUUAGUGUUCUCAUCUCCAAACUUGACCCAUCUUAUAGUUGCUCUUUGCUUCCAAUAGGCAUUCUGAUGUGAGACGAGAUUGAACAAAUGAUCUUUGAGGAUAUUUCUUCCAUUCCAUCCCUCAAUAGAAAGAGGUAUAUAUUCUUCCAAAGUGUCAAACAGUGGGAUUUGACCAUUAGAUCUUUUGAUGAGCAUGGCCAGUUGUGAAAUAUUCUCUGCCCAUAUUUUGAGACCCUUCCUUAAUCUUUUGAAUUUUGCAGUAAUUCUCUUAGCACUAUUAACCUCAUUCACCCCUUGAUCACAAAUAGAUUUUCAUAUGUUGCCUUGAAUACAUUGUAAUAACAAAUCUUGUGGCAUACAUGUUUUACACCUGGUUUAACAGAUGUUCUCGGGUAUUUCCCUUUAGCUAUAUCAAUAUCAAUGUACUAAUGAUUUACUUUUGUGGUUGACAUUGCAAAAAAAUCAUUGUUGAAAAAUAGUAAUAAUUAUGUUUCAAAUUCCAUUGAUUAGCGUUCUUUCCAAUUUACAAAGUUGCAACUAGCUUGAAAUGAUACCCAUAUAUUUCUAUGAUAAUUAUGAUUUGCGGAUAGAUUUAGUGUACCCAAGGAGACAAUAUAUACUUGCUUUUAGCAUGCCUUCUUCUAUGCUAAUUCAUGGUACAAAUAAAUCAAGAAGGCAUUCCAAUCCUAAUAGUUGCACAUGUGUUUAGUUUUUCAAGGGAUCUGCCACAUCAUAUUAUCAGUAAUUUCUGCGGAUUUUUUUUUUCAUGUAUUGCUUACUUGGUGGAGUAGUCAGUGUUGAUUGCAGAAGCUAUGGGGCCAUGCCGAGCAGCGCAAGGCUUGAAACAACUGUAAAAUGUUAAUGACAUUUUAUAAAAGUUUAUUCCCAUAUUUUUGACAUAGAAAGGACAAUGACACCAUUUCAUGAAUGUGGUACCAUAGGGAAACCAUCUUUGACAUUCAUAUAUUUAUUUCUGCGUCGGGGAUUGUCACCCAGGGCACAUGGCAGAUGCCUCAUCUCAUUUUGGUGGUGUAAGUUAUGGUUUUUAUUUCUCAUUACUUUGUAAUAUAAAAAAUGGUUUGAAGAUAAAACAAUGAUAUAUUGUUGCAGCCUAUUUCAGAUAACCUGUCUGCCGCUCUUAUAGUGUAUAUGACUCAUUUUUCCCCAGUUAUUCUGAUACUAGUAAUUUUCUCAGUUAUUCUGAUGGUCCGUACCUUCCACAGUGUGCCAUUGUAUGCCCAACCUUAUAUCGACCAUGUAUUUUGGUUCGUGUUUUAUCUAUAAAGCAGGACAAGAGCUUGUUUCGUAGAUAAAUGGGGUUGUCUCUAAGAUGGAGUCAAACGAGCAUGUUGCCUGCUGCGAUCAUUGCUCAAGAUUGUGUUGUGGUACUCGACUGACAGUGACUAGAUUGGACGAGAGGGCGCUUGAAGGAGAUACCAUCCCUCAAACUGACUUAAAACACGCCAGGUACCAGGCCAGCGAGUUGCAGACACCAGUUCGUCAUAGGAGGAUCAAGGGUACAGUCCCAGCCCAUCACAGCCAUUCUGCAGCCGCCUCCUUGACAAAAUGGAAGAGAUCAUUACUGACGAAUCUUAACAGGCUCGAUCACAACUACUUCUACCAAGGACAGCUGCUAGUACCACUACCAACUAGUCAAUGGAGCAGAUACCUGGUACAGCAAACUGAGGAGGACAUGAACACCAUGACUAAUCAAAACAGUUAAUCCAUCCACCGAUUGUACAAAUAGAUCCACAUUUGCUGAACAAUCAGCACACUCAACAUCCUAAUCAACCUCAGGUUACAACAAUGGCGGUAGCGCUACGACCACGACAGCAAUGGCGACGACGACACAUUAAACCCUCCUAAUCACGACACGGCGAUCCCGGCAAUUAAGUACCACUACAACUAAAGAGAGCGACCGACAAUUAUUAAGCACUACAGAACAAGAUUAACCAACCAGCACCCGGGUGAUCCAGAGAAACCGACAGCCGCGCCCAGGUGGAGCGGAGGACGAGUCAGGCCGCCGCCGGCUCGGCGGGGCGUGCCUUGGGCGGACGGCCGCGGCCGCGCUUGGCGGAUCCGUCGACGGCAGGGGUAGGAGCGGUCUUGGCCUUCUUGGGCGGAUUGGCAGCUUCGGCCUCAGGAUCCUUGGGCUUGGUCGGGCGUCCGCGGGGGCGCGGGGAGGCGGGCUUGGGCGGCGCGUUGGGGUCAAUGGGCUUGCGCGGGCGGCCGCGGCCCCGCUUGGGCGGGGCGUCCGGCGCGUCGGUGCGGAAGUAGUUGUUCUUGAGGAAGAGGAGCUGGCCGGUCUCCUUCAUGCGCACCAGAUGCGCCGUCAGCAGCGCCGCGUGCUCCUUGGGGAGGUCGCCGUACUUGCCCUCGAUGUGCUUGGAGAUGGCGGACUUGUUCGACCCGUUCUUGUCGUUGAGCGCCGCGAUGGCCGCCAGUAUCAUCU
rnacentral:lncRNA from 1 species